rnacentral:lncRNA from 1 species
ACUUUAUUUGCUAAUUAACUAACUUAUCCAAAAAUAAACUUCAUGUCAACCACGUCUGUGGUAGGAUAUUUAAUAGUACAAUAUGUUUUUUUAGUUGCUAAGCCGUGGCCCCCACAUGAAUGUACUCAAUACUAUACUAGUAUUUAGAACUGAUCCGGGACCCACAUCCUUUUAAUUUAUUCCUAUAAUUUCUGUGUGAAUGAUUUGAUUGCUUGGGUCACCCAGUUAAUUUGUGGAAUUAAUGUUGAAUCCACAAUGUACGAAUCAGAAGAAAAUGAUCAAGUGGUGGUUAUUCGUGUUCACACAACAAGAUAACCAACACCAAACGCAACUUGUUCGGCGGCACCGAAUUAGUAGGAUCCUAUUCCUCUCCUGACUCCUCCGUUAUUAUAAGUAUCUUAGGGAGGUAUUACAUUUACAUUUACAUUUACAUGACCAGACAAGACAAGACUAGAGUAAAGAGCAAUUAAUUGGAAGGCAGUAGCAGCAACACAGCACUAAUAUAAUGUUGUCCUCCACUUUGAUAUUAGUCUCUAUCUUGAUAACCACGUCCACUGCAAUAGACACCAUAACUACAAACCAAACCAUUAGAGAUAAUGAUGGUAAAAACAGCACCAUUGAAUCGGCAGGCGGAGUCUUCGAGCUGGGAUUUUUCAGCCCAGGAAGAUCCAACAAUCGAUACUUGGGCAUAUGGUACAAGAAGGUAUCAAGCAGGACGGUCGUAUGGGUCGCUAAUAGAGAGAGUCCACUUCUUGACACUUCAGGGGUGUUAAGGGUCGACGUUAAUGGGAGUCUGACACUUAGGGAUGGUGCUGACAACAUCAUUUGGUCAUCCAACUCAGCCACACCCGUGGCCGUGACAAAUAAUAAUAAUAAUAAUAAUAAUAAUAAUAAUAAUAAUAAUAAUAAUAAUAAUAAUCAUCCUGCGGUUGUGGCUCAGCUGCUGGAUACGUCCAAUUUUGUUAUCAGGUAUGUGGACAAUAAUUAUAGCAACCCAGCUGAAAAUUACUUUUGGCAAAGUUUUGAUCACCCCGGAGAUCAUUUUCUACCGACCAUGAAGCUUGGAUGGGACUUGGUGAGGGGCAUAGACCGACACCUCACGUCCUGGAAAAGUCCCGAUGAUCCUUCCCCAGGUAACUACACCUUAAGGGUCUAUCUGGAGGGAUAUCCACAGCUGCUUGUGGCGGAAGGUUCAAAGGUUGUGUUCAGGGUUGGACCGUGGGAUGGUAUUCAGUUUAGUGGUGUGUCUUUUAAUGUGCCGGAUCUAAAUUUUGACUUGAAGCUUGUUCUCAAUGAGAAGAAGCAAAUCCAUUGCGAGUAUAAGGUUCCCAAUACUUCUACGCCCGUGAGGAUUUAUUUGAACCCGGAUGGGAAGAUACAAUUUCUAACAUGGUAUGAAAAUAUCCAUAAUUGGACACUUAGAACCCAUCUUAGUGUACUAUAUGAUGAAUGUGACACGUAUGCAUUACGCGGGACAUAUGGUAAAUGUAACAUUACCGAAGCCCAAUCAGGACAGGAGGCAUGCAAGUGUUUAGCAGGAUUUGAGCCAAAAUCUCCAGAGAGAUGGAAAUUAGCAGAAUGGUCCGACGGAUGUGCCCGCAGAACUCCAUUGACUUGUGGCGAUGGAGAUACAUUCGUCAAGUUCCUACAUCUGAAAUUACCAGACACGCGGAAUUCAUGGUACAAUCAAAGCAUGAGCCUUGAAGAAUGUGAGACCAAGUGCAGGCACAACUGUUCUUGUACAGCUUACUCGAAUGUAGAUUUCAUACAGGGUGGAAUUGGGUGCAUGUUGUGGUUUAAUGACCUGCUUGACAUCAGAGAUUACAACGACAAUGGACUGCCUCUUUAUGUUAGAACUGCUCCCGAAUUAGGCAAGACUUCUUUUUCUCACAUUAGUUGCAUCGAUCCGUCUAUAACUUCUAUAUAACUAAAUUAAAUUGCUACCUCAGUUUUAUUUAUUUCUUGCUGCAUGUGGAUGUAUUUCUUUUACAUUAUGGUUAAUUUUUAUUUUUUUUAUUCUUUCCGGCUGCACAGAGGUAAAUAGGAGCUCAAGAAAAAAGAAGCGAGUGAAUAUUGCUAUCAUACUCAUUCCUGCAUUAGGAGGACUACUACUGCUCGGCCUAAUUCUGGGAUAUGUAUACAAGAAGAGAAAGCUGGGGAGAAGAGGUAUCAUACAUCUCUGAUAAACUUACAUAUUUUCUCUAACGUUAUGAAGUUGGCUGCUAAUUCAAGGGAAAAAUGGAAAAUAUAGUACCAUGUGCUUUUCACCGCUUGUUGAUUUGCAGGACUUAAUCCAGAAAAUGAUGCUGGAAUUGAAGAUAAGAGUGAAGAUUUGGAGUUGUCAUUAAUCGAGUUCCAAAUAAUUUCUAAUGCUACCAAUAACUUCUCCCAAGACAAUAAGCUUGGAGAAGGUGGUUUUGGGGCCGUGUACAAGGUAAGCACAAUAUGUUCAAAAUCAUAUGAAAAUAUUUCAUCCUAUAUAUGCAGUAAUCAUGAUACAAUAUCAAACUUCCAAGAUGUUUGUUUUUCAGGGAACCUUGGACGAGGGACAAGAAAUUGCUGUGAAGAGGCUCUCAAAGACUUCGAAACAAAGAUUAGAUGAGUUCAAGAACGAAGUUAAAUGUAUAGCCAAACUUCAGCACCGAAAUCUUGUAAGGCUUUUAGGAUGCUGCAUUGAAGAGGGGGAAAUGUUGUUGAUAUAUGAAUACAUGCCCAACAAAAGUUUAGAUGUCUUUAUUUUCGGUAUGACAUCCUCAAAGUGUUGCAAAAAUGCUUAAGAUUUACUUUCCCAAGGAAUUAUUCAACAAACACAAAUUCAUUACAUAUUGCACAUGGAUUAACUAACUAAGAUAACAUAUAUAUUGGGACAGAUAAAGAACUGAGCAAGUCAUUAGAUUGGCCAAAGCGCUACAAUAUUAUAAAUGGUAUUGCUAAAGGGCUUUUAUAUCUUCACCAAGACUCCAGAUUGAGAAUUAUUCAUAGGGAUCUCAAAGCCGGCAAUAUUUUACUCGAUCGCGAGAUGAGUCCAAGAAUUUCAGACUUUGGCUUGGCAAGAAGUUUUGGAGGAAAUGAAAGCGCAGUAAAUACUGUAAGAGUGGUUGGGACAUAGUAAGAAGCUCUACCACACUUCAAUCUUUUUAGGCGUCAUAUAUACAUAUCUGCAUGAAGCUAAUGAAUUUUUCAAUUUAUUUUCUACAGUGGUUACAUGGCUCCCGAGUAUGCUAUUGAUGGAUUAUUCUCAGUUAAAUCGGAUGCUUACAGCUUUGGGGUGCUACUCUUAGAGAUAGUGAGCGGGAAGAAAAUUAGACAAUUCUAUCAUUCGGAUAGCAACGUUAACCUUCUUGGUCAUGUAAGAGCGCGUCCUAGUUUCGUUAUUUUUAUGGUUUGACAGUUGCUGAUAAAAUUAUUUCAUCAAAUUGCAUAGGCAUGGAAACUUUAUAAGGAUGACAAAAUUUUGGAUCUAAUUGACGAGGCAAUUGUGGAGUCUUGUAAACUGUCAGAAGCUUUGCGAGCUAUCCACAUUGGGUUAUUGUGUGUGCAACCAUAUCCGCAAGACAGGCCGAACAUGUCAUUUGUUGUUUCCAUGCUGGAUAGUGAAAAUGAGCUACCUCAGCCAAAACAACCUGGUUUUUUCACUGAGAGCGGAAUGCAGGAUUCAGAUUCCUCUUCUCAAAACCAUGGAGCAUUUUUUUCAAAUGGUGAAUUCACCGUCACAUUUUCCACCCCUAGGUAAUAGGCGUUAUGUUGAUAAGUAAACCCGUUUCUUAAGAAUUGUCUAGAUAUAUACAUGGUUCAUGAAUAGGUAAGUAGUAUAAGUACAUGGUACAUGUAUGUGAUUAAUUUAAGUGCAUGACAUAAUUUGUAAGUUCAGAUAUGACUACAAGUAUCCUAUAUAUAUAAGCCAAUAAAGGCCUUGCACAUUUGGAAUAAAGUUGAAGUGAGAAACAAUUCUUCCCAUCUCCACUUCCUCUCUAGAUAUAAGGCUAAAUACACUCUUUUGUUAGUUGAAGUUCCACCCAAUUCAUAAUUCAGUCCCUAAAAUUAAAAUAAUUGUGCCUCAGCAGAAUAUGGUUAGAUUGUAACGCUCUAACACAAAUAUAAAUGAACAAGAUAAAAACCUUGAAUCCCUCUCAAACAGAAAUUCAUAUAUAAUGUUAAACUACGUUUCUACGACUAAUUGAAAAAGGAAAAUAAUUAAAUCCUAGAGUAAAUAAAUUAGAAAAACUAAAUCCCAAAACAUAACGUUUCCAGGAUUAUUAAUUAACCCCUCCGUCUUCCAAAGUUUAUGUUCAAGUAAAUUAUUUUUUGUCACAAGAAAAUGACUAAAAAUGAUCAAUGCAUGAUCAUUAGUGUUAACUAUACCAAAUAUAUUCUAGAUUAUUCAAGAAACGUCUUAAUUAAUAUUAGUACAUGAAUUUGUGAUAUCUAAGUACAUGAAUGUAUUUGAAUUAUCUUGGAACAUGUAAUGGUUAGAUUCAUGUACAUGAAUGUGGUCAUAUUAAUGUGGUUCUAGAAAUGUCCUAUGAGUCCUAUAUAUAGCUUGUACUUGAAUCAUUUUAAUCAAGUGAAAUCAAAGUGUUCUUAUAUUCUCUAAAGUUACAUUUCACUUCCUCCCUAAAAAUAUUCUCUUCCUAAUUAUUCCAACAAGAGUGGUAUCAGAGCCGGUUUUAAAAAAAAAACAUCCGGAGUCAAUUGAGCAACUAACAAAGAAGCAUCUUGUUAAAAGUGUGGCAUGUCCCAAAAUUCCACCAAUCAUCACGUGGUCCCAUCAUCAUUACCAGAAGGAUACUGCAUACUGAUUUAGUGAUAUUGUGCACAAGUGAUAUCAAUGCACUUGUGAAAUAAUAUAGCAGUAAACACGCCAGCUGUUACUAUUUUUUUUCUCCAGACAACGUGGCAGCAGCAACGUGGUAAUGGCAAACUCAAAUAAUUUAGUCUCUCUAAUUACUCGUUUUAAUGGAGAAGACUUUGAUUAUUGGAGCCAUAAUAUGAAAGUAUUAUUGAAAUCCUUCAAGUUGUGGAGUAUUGUUGAAGAUGGUUGUGAAGAACCAGAAACUGAAGAGGGUUUGUCACAAGCCCAGAAAAAUAGUUUGAAUGAGAAAAGGGAGAAGGAUAACAAGGCGCUCUUCCAAAUUUAUCAAGCAAUUGAAAGACCAAUUUUUGAUAGAAUUUCGAAGGCAGUAACUUCAAAAGAAGCUUGGGAUAUUUUGCAAUCAAUAUAUAAAGGUGAAGAAAAGGUAAAAAAGGUACGACUCCAAUCUUUGCGUUUAGAAUUUGAGAAGUUGCAAAUGCAAGAAAAUGAGACUAUUGCUGAUUAUUUUUCGAAAGUUACUUCAAUUGUUAAUCAAAUGGCAACUAAUGGAGAAGUUUUGCAAGAUCAAAAAGUUGUUGAGAAAAUUCUUCGAAGCUUACCACAAAAGUUUGAUUUUAUCGUGGUAGCCAUCGAAGAGUCCAAAGAUGUGUCAAAAUUAUCUUUGGAAGAUUUGCAGGCUUCUUUAAAGGCACAUGAGUUUCGUGUUAAUCAAAGAAAUCCACCUUCUAAUGAUCAAGCUCUCAAAUCUGAAAUUACGGGAGGCCGAGGUGCUCCUCGUGGUCGCGGCCGUGGAGGAGGUCGUGGACGUGGAAGAGGUGGCUUCCAAGGAAACAGAGGUAGAGGCUCUAAUUUUCGUGGCAAUGGAAGAGGAUCACAAGGUAACAAUAAUAAUUUUAAGGAAGAGUCAUUUGAGUAUUCAAACAAUUCUCAAAGAGGAAGAGGUCGUGUUAUUAAUCAAAGAGGGAGAAAAGGAUAUAUUGAAUGUUUUCAUUAUCAUAGGCCUGGUCAUAAAAUCAGUGAAUGUUGGUUUGCACCAUCUAACAAAAAAGAAUCGGGUUUGGUGCAUGAAAAUGAAUCAGUUGAGAAAGAUUGUUCAGAAUCAUUAUUAAUUGCUUGUCAAGAAAAUAAUAAUCAUGUUUGGUAUUUGGAUAGUGGAGCCAGCAAACAUAUGACAGGGAAUAAGGAUUUAUUUUCUACCCUGGUAGAAUCAAAUUUUGGGCAAAUAAAAAUUGGUGAUGCUAGAGCCUAUACAAUUAAAGGAGUUGGAGAAGUCACUUUCAAAACAAAAUCUGAAAAAUUUGAAAAAAUGUCAGAUGUUUAUUUUGUUCAAGGCAUUAAAAGCAAUUUGCUAAGUACUGGACAACUUUUGCGAAAAGGGUUUGAUAUAUUCUUUCAUGAUAAAUUGUGUACUCUGUCAAAAAAUAAUCAUGUUGUGGCAAAGAUUAGCUUGGCGGAGAAUAAUUUAUUUCCACUUCCUCUCCAAGUGGAAAAUUUUCAUUGUUUCGCUGGUUUUAAUGAAGAAGUUUCAAAGUUGUGGCAUGACAGGUAUGGCCACUUGAAUUUUGACAGCCUAAAAUUGUUAGCAGUGAAAGGAAUGGUGAAUGGAUUACCUCAGAUUAAUAAAACAGAUGAGACUUAUGAAGCAUGCCAGUUGGGAAAGUUGCAUCGUUAUCCAUUCCCCUCAAAAUCUACUUGGGGUGCAAGGCAACCACUUGAACUUGUUCAUUCAGACCUGUGUGGACCUAUGACAGUGUCAUCUUUUGGAGGUAAUAGAUACUUCAUUUCUUUUAUUGAUGAUUACACAAGAAAAGUGUGGACUUAUUUUCUUCAUGAAAAAUCUGAAAGUUUUCAAGCUUUUAAAAAUUUUAAAGCAGAAGUUGAAAAAUUUUCUAGUUGUCACAUAAAGACUUUGAGAACAGAUCGAGGGUUAGAGUAUCUUUCAAAUGAUUUUCAGCAUUUUUGUAAAGAUAAUGGCAUAAGGCAUGAAUUGACAGUUCGUUAUACACCGCAACAAAAUGGUGUUUGCGAAAGGAAAAAUCGUACAAUCAUGGAUAUGGUUAGAUGCAUGCUGAAAAGAAAAAGGUUGUCACGCCAAUUUUGGGCAGAAGCUAUUUCUUGUGCGGUUUACUUGAUCAACAGGUCACCAACAAAAAGUUUAAAAAAUUGUACUCCUCAUGAAGCUUGGUAUGGGAGAAAACCAAGUGUCCAACACUUGAAGAUUUUUGGAAGUGUAGCUUUUGCUCAUGUACCAAAUGCAAUAAGGACAAAACUUGAUGAUAAGGCAGAAAAAUGUAUUUUUGUUGGAUACAGUGAAAGGUCAAAAGCCUACAAGCUGUAUAAUCCAAAAACAAAGAAAAUUGUCAUUAGCAGGGAUGUAAACUUUGAUGAAAAAUCUUUUUUCAAUAAUACUGACAUAAACACUGCAGAUGAGGUACCAUUGCUCGUGGAGGAUUUAGAAGGUUGUAGCAGUAUGCCAAGUGAAGAUGAUCCAUCCUUGAACCCAAUUGAUGUUCCAUCAUCCUCAACAGGAGCGUCUUCUGAUAGCAGCCCUGAAGCAAUCAAGACAAGAACUUUGCAGGAGAUUUAUGAUACUACGGAGCCAGUAGAUGCAGGAGCUAUUUUCUUUGCUUUCUAUGCAGGAGAAGAUCCAAUCUCCCAUGAAGAUGCAGCAAAAGAAGAAAAAUGGAAACAAUCCAUGAAGGAAGAAAUUAUGGCUAUCGAAAGGAAUGACACAUGGGAGCUCGUCAGUUUACCACCAAACAAAAAUCCCAUUGGAGUUAAAUGGAUUUUAAGACAAAGUUAAAUUCAGAUGGUUCUGUCAAUAAGUACAAAGCGAGGCUCGUUGCAAAGGGGUAUGCACAAAAGGAAGGAGAAGAUUUUAAUGAGGUAUUUGCACCUGUUUCAAGACUUGAUACUGUUCGUUUAAUUAUAUCACUUGCUGCUCAAAACAAUUGGAAAUUGUUCCAAAUGGAUGUCAAAUCAGCAUUUCUAAACGGGUUUCUUGAGGAAGAGAUCUAUGUUGAUCAACCACCCGGUUUCGUGAAGAAAGGUGAAGAAGAGAAAGUUUACAAGUUAAAGAAGGCUUUAUAUGGUUUGAGGCAGUCACCAAGGGCUUGGUAUAGCCGCAUUAAUUCUUACUUUGAGAAGAAUGGUUUUCAAAAAUGUCCUCAGGAGCAUACUUUAUACACCAAAAUUGAUCCUUCAAAAGGAAGAUUUAUGGUGGUAAGUCUCUAUGUUGAUGAUCUCAUUUUUACUGGAAAUGAUAUGGAGAUGCUUAAUGAUUUUAAAGCUUCAAUGAAACAAGAGUUUGACAUGACUGAUUUGGGAGAGUUACAUCAUUUUUUGGGUAUUGAAGUUAGUCAAUCCAGUAAGGGAAUUUUUAUUUCUCAAGGGAGAUAUGCAAGGGAAAUUUUGAAAAAGUUUAAGAUGGAGAAUGCUAAUUCUGUUUCAACUCCAUGUGUUACUGGGCUUAAGUUAAGCAAGAAAGGUGAAGGAAAGCUUGUGGAUCCAACUAUUUACAGGAGUUUGGUUGGAAAUUUGAUGUAUUUAACUGCCACAAGACCAGAUUUAAUGUUUGUUGUUAGUAUGAUUAGCAGGUUCAUGGAGAAACCUCACUCAGAACAUUGGGAAGCAGCAAAACGAAUUUUGAGAUAUGUGAAAGGCACAGUUGAUUAUGGAAUUUUUUAUGAAGCUGGUGUUCCAGUUAGUCUUACUGGAUUCACAGACAGUGAUUUUGGAGGUAGCAUUGAUGAUAGCAAAAGUACUUCAGGUUAUGUUUUUAAUAUAGGAAGCGGAGCUAUUUCUUGGAGUUCAAAGAAACAACCAAUUGUUGCUCUUUCAACAACUGAAGCUGAAUAUAUAGCGGCUGCACAUGCUGGAUGUCAUCUAGUUUGGUUAGAAGGAAUUUUGAAGUAUCUCAAUCAAAAACAAGAAGCUGAUCCAACUUUGUUUUGUGAUAAUACUUCAACAAUUUCAGUUACCAAAAAUCCAGUUCUUCAUGGAAAGACAAAGCAUAUUCGCAUUCGAUAUCAUUUCUUAAGGGAACUUGUGAAUGAUGGAAUUAUUAAUAUCAAGUAUUGUAAAUCUGAGGAGCAGGUAGCUGACAUUUUUACAAAGCCGGUUUCUGGAGAAGUAUUCAAGAAGCAAAUCGCUAAGCUCGGAGUGAAGAAUAAAUUUGGUUUAUGGGAGGCCUUGUUAACUAAACCAAAUAUAUUCUAGAUUAUUCAAGAAACAUCUUAAUUAAUAUUAGUACAUGAAUUUGUGAUAUCUAAGUACAUGAAUGUAUUUGAAUUAUCUUGGAACAUGUAAUGGUUAGAUUCAUGUACAUGAAUGUGGUCAUAUUAAUGUGGUUCUAGAAAUGUCCUAUGAGUCCUAUAUAUAGCUUGUACUUGAAUCAUUUUAAUCAAGUGAAAUCAAAGUGUUCUUAUAUUCUCUAAAGUUACAUUUCACUUCCUCCCUAAAAAUAUUCUCUUCCUAAUUAUUCCAACAAUUAGUACUAAAAAUUACUGAAUUACAUGACGUACGGGAUGGCACACUGGGAGCUUUCAGAACAUAGACAACGUGUGGUGAGAUUUGAGAGAUGGUUUUGCAUGAGGGAGAUCAGCUUAAGGACUGUCAGUGGCCGGUAAGAGUUUGGGAAGCGUAGUUUCAUAGUAGAGUAAGCAGAUAUCGUUGAGGUUUAAAAAAUAGGGUCAAGAGAGGUGGUGGUUCAUGGAUGCGGUGCUACUUCUACGAAAGUAGUUACUACAUAUAUGGAUAUGGUGAUCGAUGUAGUGAGGUUCAUUCCUUGAUUGCAUGUUGAAACUAAUACUGGGUGGUAAUUGAUAAUAUAUUAAAAAAUUGUUAAUUCAUAAGAUCAGUAAUAUAUUAAUUUUGAAGAAAAUUAUGUGUGUGUAUAUAUAUAUAUAUAUAUAUAUAUAUAUAUAUAUAUAUAUAUAUAUAUAUAUAUAUAUAUAUAUAUAUAUAUCAUGCCAAUUUUUUUACGCAUGAUGAAAUCAUCAAAACAACAUGUCAAAAAAGAGCUAAUAGUUGCUGAGAUAAUUGAUUGUGUUGUUGUGAAGUCAAACUCACGAAAUAUACUCACAUGCAUAAACAUAUACAUAUGAUUGUAAGAGAUAUAAAAUAUGAACACAAAGAAUUUUACGUGGAAACCUAAUUAGGAAAAAACCACGAGUAGAGAUAAGAAAUUCACUAUAAAAAUAAUAAGGGGAGUACAAAUUGUUUAUUCCUACUCCUCACACUCCGUAUUUUCUCUCAUUUGUAUUUAUAGAUGUCAUGUCCACCCGAAUUCAAUUAGGAGUAGGAGUCCUUUUUUGAAAAAAUAAAUAUAAAGGUCAACACCAAAUUCGGACCAUUAAAUAAAUUGGGUUACAUAUUGGCCAAACCCAAAUAAUAACUUCAAAAAAAAUUAAGAUUAAAGAUUUUAUAAAAAAAAGUAUUAGCCGGCUCAAAUUUCACCUAAUACUACUUGACACGGCGGAAGACGGUAAAGAAAAUAGAAACAAUCACAUAAACUGAAUUUAUGUACUUUGCAAUCACAGGAAUUCACAAAGUGUGGGAUAAACUAAUUAGCCAAGUAUUUCAUAAACCAAAAUAAUAAUAAUGAGUUGUUGUAAGACCCCACUUUUAUGAAUAAAAAUAAAUUUUUCUAUAAUUAUCAUUUUUGAAUAUUAUGAAGUAAAUUUGAUAUAAUGUUAUAAUUGUGGGUAAUAUUUAUAAAUUUUGGAAAGUAUGCAAGUGGUUAUAUAAUAUUUGAUUGGUCGGGGAAUAUUCGUUUUAACAGAGAAUAUUCGUACAACGACGCAAUCAUUGGUAGACCCCACAACGGAAUUAUUGUCGGAUUGAGAAAACGACAAAAAUAUUUUAUAAAAAAACGACGAAAGUUUUACCGUUAAUACUGUUGAACUACUCGGUAGUAAAAGUACAGUUAUACGUGUGGUUUCAUAGUAGCACACGGUAUUGAUUAUUGAUGCUUACGUGAGAAGUCAUUCAAUUUUAUUCAAUUAUUGCUAUAGUAAUUGUUGCAUAGUAUCUCACGUUAUUUGAUUCAAUUAUUGUCGAUAUUUUAUAUAUUAUUAAAUCAAUAAUUGAGAUGACAAAGUUAUUAAUAUUAUUAUUUGCAAUAUUAACGAUGUCUAGAAGUUCUAUCAAUGAGAGGUUAGGUAAUUGCGCGCCAGUGAGGGAAAUCCUUACCGGAAGGCCCCCUCUAUCCUGGGAACGACCUGGUCGAUUAAUAUUGUGAAUUGUAAUAAAGAUGAUAAAUGUUGUUAAAAUUAUUAAGGUGAUUUUUAUGAAGUCUGCUUAUUUUAUGGAUUCCUAUUUACCAAUUUUUUAAAAUAAUCGGUAGAAAAUUAUUUAAAGGUGGGGGCCACAUGUGGGGCCCAUAUGUGUUGAAAAACUAAUUUUGGAAAUGGGAGUGGGAGAGAGAUACGUAUAGGGGAGGGAAUUUAUGUAUAUAAGGUUGUGGUGUGUGUAUAUAUAUAAUAUAAUAUUAUGUGAGUGGGAAAUGGUGGGGAAAUGAUGUUGUUUUAUAAAAGGUAGUUAGUAUUAUAUGUAUAUAUAUAUGUUAUAACAUGUGUGUGCGUUUUAUAUAUAUAUAUAUAUAUAUAUAUAUAUAUAUAUAUAUAUAUAUAUAUAUUUUAUACAAUAAAAUUAUGUCUAAUUAAAUUUUUUUAAACACAUAUCAAUAUACAUAUCAAAUUUGACAAUUAAUAAUUCGUAUAAAGGUUUGGCUCUGAUGUCACUGUUAGGUUUGUAAUAUUCAUGAACGUAAUCAAAUUACACAAAUUAAGCGGAAAUNNNNNNNNNNNNNNNNNNNNNNNNNNNNNNNNNNNNNNNNNNNNNNNNNNNNNNNNNNNNNNNNNNNNNNNNNNNNNNNNNNNNNNNNNNNNNNNNNNNNUUUGCUUUAUUCUUAUUGGUUGGAGGUUUGACAAAUUAUGUGGGUUAUAUGUAUUAUUAUUUUUGCUUGAAUCUUAUUGGUUGGAGGUUUCACAAAAUUGCAUCUUAAGUUAUAAAAAUUGUCAUCCGAUAAUUUGCAUUCCUAACACAGUAUCUUCCAUUCUCCUAUAAAUAGAAGCUCAUUCCUUCAUUCUUACGAAUUCACUGAAACUCUAGAGAGAGAAAUUAUAGAGAAACUAUAGAAAAGUAUUCUGCUACUUCCCUACUUUUAUAUCCAGUUUCUUUUACGAUAAGGGAUAUUAUUUCUUUUAUUCAUGAAGAGAACUUCUGUUAUUCCAUUUCUUUAUUAUUCUGUUGGAAUAACCUGUAUACGCGGGCUACCCUAUACUUGGUGACAUUCUUCUAUUAUUCUGUCUUUAUUAUUCCGUUGGAACAUCCUGUCUGCGUGUUUUACAUCGGACCUAGUUUCGUCUUUAUUAUUAUUCUGUUGGAACAUCCUGUCUGCGUGUUCUACACCGGACCUGGUUCCGUCUUUAUUAUUAUUCUGUUGGAACAUCCUGUCUGUGUGUUUUACACCGGACCUGGUUCCGUCUUUAUUAUUAUUCUGUUGGAACAUCCUGUCUGUGUGUUUUACAUCGGACCUGGUUCCGUUAUUUAUUAUUCUGUUGGAAUAACCUGUCUGUACGAAGUACCGCAUGCAUGGUGAUUUCUUUUGUUAUUCCAUUCUUUAUUAUACUCAGUUGGUUAAAGUUUUGAACUUCUAUACUCUAUGAAAUUAGUAGAAUAUCCUUGAUAUUUGCGCUUCAUCCAAUAUCUUUUCAUGGAAAUAUUCUUCUGAGUAUUCUUGAAUUUUACACCACAAAACAAUAUCUUGUUGACAAUUGGGACGUUAUUGGUUCCUGGACAAAUUAAUUAUUGAACUUGUUUUAUUAAAUUCAUAUAUCAUUGUCAUCAUCCUCAUGUUUGUAUUAUGUUGAAAGUCAUCUGUGGCCUGUAGUGCGUAGAUGGACUUGGUAUGAUUAUGACCAGGGAUUAUUCGGUAUAAUCAUGACCGUAAUGUUACAAAUAAUGUGGUAAAAGUCCUCAUUGGCCCGUAGUGCAUUGAUGGACAGUUUUUAGUACGAUCAUGACCAUUGAUGAAUACACAAAUUGAAAGUAAUAUGUACACAAGCCAAUCAUGUUUGAUGAUAAAGCAUAUAUUUUGUAACAAUCUUAUUCAUUUAUUAAUAAAAGUAUUAAUUUAUUAAAGGCUCUUAAUUAUCUACAUGAUGUUGUUUUAUAAUAUGUGAUAAACCCGUAGUUUUAAGCAAUGCUUUUAAAAUAAUGAUGAUGAUCAUUCUAAUGAGAUCUAAAUUCUUAGAAAGCUUAAAACUAAAAUAGUUCCUAAUCGUUGGAUUACUAAAUUGGGGAUUANNNNNNNNNNNNNNNNNNNNNNNNNNNNNNNNNNNNNNNNNNNNNNNNNNNNNNNNNNNNNNNNNNNNNNNNNNNNNNNNNNNNNNNNNNNNNNNNNNNNNNNNNNNNNNNNNNNNNNNNNNNNNNNNNNNNNNNNNNNNNNNNNNNNNNNNNNNNNNNNNNNNNNNNNNNNNNNNNNNNNNNNNNNNNNNNNNNNNNNNNNNNNNNNNNNNNNNNNNNNNNNNNNNNNNNNNNNNNNNNNNNNNNNNNNNNNNNNNNNNNNNNNNNNNNNNNNNNNNNNNNNNNNNNNNNNNNNNNNNNNNNNNNNNNNNNNNNNNNNNNNNNNNNNNNNNNNNNNNNNNNNNNNNNNNNNNNNNNNNNNNNNNNNNNNNNNNNNNNNNNNNNNNNNNNNNNNNNNNNNNNNNNNNNNNNNNNNNNNNNNNNNNNNNNNNNNNNNNNNNNNNNNNNNNNNNNNNNNNNNNNNNNNNNNNNNNNNNNNNNNNNNNNNNNNNNNNNNNNNNNNNNNNNNNNNNNNNNNNNNNNNNNNNNNNNNNNNNNNNNNNNNNNNNNNNNNNNNNNNNNNNNNNNNNNNNNNNNNNNNNNNNNNNNNNNNNNNNNNNNNNNNNNNNNNNNNNNNNNNNNNNNNNNNNNNNNNNNNNNNNNNNNNNNNNNNNNNNNNNNNNNNNNNNNNNNNNNNNNNNNNNNNNNNNNNNNNNNNNNNNNNNNNNNNNNNNNNNNNNNNNNNNNNNNNNNNNNNNNNNNNNNNNNNNNNNNNNNNNNNNNNNNNNNNNNNNNNNNNNNNNNNNNNNNNNNNNNNNNNNNNNNNNNNNNNNNNNNNNNNNNNNNNNNNNNNNNNNNNNNNNNNNNNNNNNNNNNNNNNNNNNNNNNNNNNNNNNNNNNNNNNNNNNNNNNNNNNNNNNNNNNNNNNNNNNNNNNNNNNNNNNNNNNNNNNNNNNNNNNNNNNNNNNNNNNNNNNNNNNNNNNNNNNNNNNNNNNNNNNNNNNNNNNNNNNNNNNNNNNNNNNNNNNNNNNNNNNNNNNNNNNNNNNNNNNNNNNNNNNNNNNNNNNNNNNNNNNNNNNNNNNNNNNNNNNNNNNNNNNNNNNNNNNNNNNNNNNNNNNNNNNNNNNNNNNNNNNNNNNNNNNNNNNNNNNNNNNNNNNNNNNNNNNNNNNNNNNNNNNNNNNNNNNNNNNNNNNNNNNNNNNNNNNNNNNNNNNNNNNNNNNNNNNNNNNNNNNNNNNNNNNNNNNNNNNNNNNNNNNNNNNNNNNNNNNNNNNNNNNNNNNNNNNNNNNNNNNNNNNNNNNNNNNNNNNNNNNNNNNNNNNNNNNNNNNNNNNNNNNNNNNNNNNNNNNNNNNNNNNNNNNNNNNNNNNNNNNNNNNNNNNNNNNNNNNNNNNNNNNNNNNNNNNNNNNNNNNNNNNNNNNNNNNNNNNNNNNNNNNNNNNNNNNNNNNNNNNNNNNNNNNNNNNNNNNNNNNNNNNNNNNNNNNNNNNNNNNNNNNNNNNNNNNNNNNNNNNNNNNNNNNNNNNNNNNNNNNNNNNNNNNNNNNNNNNNNNNNNNNNNNNNNNNNNNNNNNNNNNNNNNNNNNNNNNNNNNNNNNNNNNNNNNNNNNNNNNNNNNNNNNNNNNNNNNNNNNNNNNNNNNNNNNNNNNNNNNNNNNNNNNNNNNNNNNNNNNNNNNNNNNNNNNNNNNNNNNNNNNNNNNNNNNNNNNNNNNNNNNNNNNNNNNNAUAUAUAUAUAUAUAUAUAUAUAUGAUCCUAGUUACAGGAGGUUUUGAUUUACUAUUCGAAGGCCACGUGAUUUAUGAACCUGUUUUUUUAAAUUCAUGUGAUCAGGUUAUAUAUAUAUAUAUAUAUAUUUUAAGUUGAACCAAGCGGAUCUAUAUAUAUAGAUCAUCUGCAGUAUACUUUGGGUAUAUAUAAUUCACGUGAUUUCUUAUAUAUAAUAUAUAUAAUUUUAUAAUUAAAGUAAAAAUUUAUUUUAAUCUUAAAAUAAAAAAUUUAUUUUAAUUUUAAAAUUAAAUUUUAUACUAACUAAUUAGAGUUGGAAUUGAAUUCCAUGAUAACUAAUUGGAGUUGAAAUUGAAUUUCAUCUUUUCUUAAAUAAAGGAGUUUAUUUAGAUAUGAAAUAAGAUUUCAUAUUAUUCAAAAUAAAAGAGUUUAUUUGUGAAUAGGAAAGAGAAUCCUAAUUUCCUUAAAUAAAGUAGUUUAUUUAGAUAUGAAAUAAGAUUUCAUAUUAUUCAAAAUAAAGGAGUUUAUUUGUGAAUAGGAAAUAUAAUCCGUGUUUCCUUUGAUGAAGUUUUUUUUUACAUGGAAUUGGAUUCCAUAAUUAAUUAAAAUAAAGGAGUUUAUUUUGAUUAAAGAUUUUGAUUAAAAUAAAAUAGUUUAUUUUAUUCAAAAUUGGAUAAAUUAAAAAAAUAGUGUUAUUUUAAUUUAAAUUUGGAUUAAAAUAAAGAAGUUUAUUUUGAUUCGAAAUUAGAUUUUAUACUAACUAAUUUUGCCCAUUAAAUGAUAUCAAUAUAUAUAUUAAAUGUUUAUUAUUCAUGAGAUGAAUAUUAUUUAUUGAUGCAUAUGGUGAUGUGUAUGAUAAUAAAUGGGAUUGAUUAUGGACUAUUGACCAAUGUGAUUGGAUUUUAUUUUAGUUGGAUGCAUGAAUGUAUGAGUUUUAUUAAAUGGGGUCUGCGUACCUCGUCUUCUCUAAUUUUUCUUAAUGUAAAUUCUAUCUCCCUCCUAUGUACUUCCCCUUGACUGCUGAUCAAGGUUUCUAUUUAUUUUAAAUAGUUUUGUAAUAGGAAUAGUUAGAAUUAAUUUUGAAGAAUUGGAGAUCAAGGAGCAAGGAGCGCUUGAAGACCCGUUUGUAAUGGAGCCCGGGUUUAAAUGUAAUAGUUAUAUUUAAAUAUUAAUUCUUGCACCCCUAGGGUUUGACCUUUUGGUUCACUUGGUGGCUCUAGUGAACCAAACUAGAAUAAAAGUCCAUAAUCAAUCCAGGUAGAAUAUAGUAUUCUAUAUGUGCAUGCUUAUACUAUAUAUAUUAUAUAUUAUGCAAACAUGCUUCACAUGCUAAUUAAUAUGACGCGUAUUUUAUAUAUAUACGUGCAUGCGCGCUAAACAAGAUGAGACAAAUUAAUAACAAACCCCUCAUAUUUUUAUAUUAAGUCCUAAGCGUUCAAAGAUAUUUGGAAUAUCGAACGUCGUCUUCUAGCAUGAUAAAAUUAAUAGAGUAUUAAAUAUUUAAUAUGAGUUUGUUGUGUCACCACAAGGCAAGUAUUAAGUAUUUAAGAUGUUAAUUUAUCACAUUUGAUGCUUAUAAAAAAAUUGAACAAUAUUAUUUUGUUGUGUCACCACAAAGAUGAUAUUUUUCUUUUUUGAAUAUAUGGAGUGCUAGGUUGGACUUAACUUGGAUAAUUUUGAUUCGGAUGUGCCACCACUUGAUCAAAAUAAUCUAAGAGGCAAAAUACAAGGAAUUGCAUAGUUGAUGUAAUUGACAAGAGUUGUCUACCUAUUUAUUUAUAUAUAGUUUAUUGUGUCACCACAAGGCUAUAUACAUUUGAAAUGGGAUCCUUAUUUUCACUAGCAUAUCUUUAAUUAGAUAUUUCCGAACUAUAUAUAUUGAGGGUAAUAUAGUUUGAAGAAAAUAGUGAGAAAUUCCAAUUUAAAACAAGACCUAAAUUAUUUUGGUAAUUAAUAAAAGAAUGUAUGCUAAAAUGUUGUUAAUUACAAAUUCAUUUACAGAAUUUUACAAUGUCUAAAUUACUAUCACUGUGAAGCAUAUUAGAUGUUAUUUAAUCGGACCAAAUUAAAUGGAUUGGUUAAGGAAUUUGAGAAUAGUUCUCAUUGCUGAAAAGUUAUCUUAUGUCCUUGAUACGCCUAUCCCUGCAAUGGUUGCAAGAAUACCUCUGAGGAAGAUAUUGCUACUUUUAGAAAGUGGCAAGAUGAUGCACAGCAAUGCAUCAUGCUCGCAUCCAUGAGUAACGAGCUUCAGCGUCAGCAUGAAACUAUGGAUGCUCCUAUUAUAUUCCUGCACAUCAAGUAGUUGAUGGUAAGGAAAGUAGGCCUAAUAGAUAUAAGAUAUCAAAGGAGCUCUUUCGAUCUAGAAUAACUGAUGACACUACAAUACAGAUAUAAGUCCUUAACAUGAUCAAUUUGAUUGAACAAUUAGGACAACGGGUUUUGUCAUGGAUGGAGAGUUGAGCCAAGAUUUGAUCUUGCACUCACUCCUGGACUCCUUUAACAAUUGUUGUGAAUUUUUCAUAUGAACAAGCUAAAGAUCAGCCUCGUUGAUUUGCUUAACAUUUUGAAAAAUGUUGAGAGUCACUUUCCAACCAAGAAAGACCAUGUCUUACUGAUAGGGGCCAAAGGAUCUUCUGAAAAAAAAAGAACGAUUCAAAGAAGGUAAACAGAAAGGCGUAAACAAAGGAUAAUAAGAACAAAACUGAUACGGAUAGCAAAGUAGUUUUCUUCCACUGCAAUAAGCCAGGACACUGGAAAAGAAACUGCGAGAAGUAUCUUGUAGAGGCUAACCAAAGAAGCUUAGUGAAGUUUCGGUUACAAAUACAAAUUUGUUCAUAAUUUGAAAUAAAUUUUUCUUUAAGUCAAGGUUCUACUUGGGUAUUUGAUACCGGCUUUGGCUAUCAUAAAUAUAGAUUUAUGAAGGGACCAAGCAGAAGUAGAAAGCUAAACAAAGAUAAGCAAUCCUAUGUGUGGAAAAUGAAGCAAAGGUUGCCGCAUUAGCCAUAGGAACUUAUAGUUUAGCACAGCCUACGGGCAAGUCUAUUAAGCCAAUAAGUUAUUAUUGUAUUCCAGUUCUUGUUGGAAACAUUAUUUCCAUUUUGUUGUUGGACAAUGAAAUCUUUGGUAUUAUAUUUAACAACAAUUGUUGUUCUAUUUAUAAUAAUAAUGUUUUGUAUAGAACUGGAAUAUUACUUAAUGGAUUUUGUAUACGCAAUAAUUAUUUGAUGUAUCUGAAAGAAAAAAUUGUUCCUUGUUAGAUAUGGUGCGGUCCAUAAUGAUUUUACCAACAUUCCAGUAUCCCUCUAGGAUCAUGUCCUAGAAAUGGCUGUAUAUCUACGAAAAGGUAACCUCAAAAUCCGGCCCCAAGACUCCAUAAAAGUUAUGGACAAGGAGGAUUUCUAAUCUUAAGUUUGUUAAGAUAAGGGGUUGUCCAACUUAUGUGAAAAGGUUUCAAAAGGAUAAAUUUGGAACAAGAUUUUACAAGUAUAAUUUGUGGGACAUCCUAAAAUAAGUUUAGGGUAUCUUACUUAGCAAAAUGUGUUUGUUGCGAAACAUGCUACCUUCUAAGAUAAAAGUGUUUAUCAUUAAAGGGGCUGGUCGGAGGAUAAUAAAUCUUGAAGAGUUUAAGAACUACAAAAUAUUAUAAGUCAAAUAAGAGGAACAUGUAGAUAGACCUAUUGUACCACAACCAAAUCGUAAAUCUGGAAUAGUACCGAAGAUACCUGGGAGGUAUGGAUUCAUCAUGGAUGAUGAUGAUGAGGUACGCAUCAUAGAAGAUGAUGAUCCAGUUACAUACGAUGAGGUAAGAGUUGUAGACACUCUGAGAAUUGGAUCGAAAUAAGCUUCUCAAAUAAUGGAACAUUCAUUUUGAUAAGACAAUCAAAAGAGUUUGAUUUUAUCAAAAAUAAGAAUGAACCUAGUGUGUACAAAAGGGUCAGUGGGAGCGUCGUGACAUUCCUAGUAUUAUAUGUUGAUAUACUACAGAUAAGGAAUGACAUACCAAUGCUACAAUCAGUAAAGAUAAAGUUGUCUAAACAUUCCUCCAUGAAUGAUUUGGGAAGAGUAUCAUAAUUGGGGAUAAAAAUCUAUAUAGAUAGAUUUAAAAGGAUGCUCAGCUUAACCCAAGGAACGUAUAUUCAUUUGAUGCUAAAGUCGUUUAGCAUGACAAACUCCAAGAGAUAUCCCAUGUUAAUGAGCCCUGGAGUGUAUCUCUUUUAUUAGUCCCCAAAGACUCCAAAAAGAGAGAUCGCAUGAGUAACUAUCAUGUAUGCAAUGAAAUAUACGAGACCUGAUGUUGAUCAGUCAUAUUCUGGAGAAGUUCAUUGUGAGACAGUGAAAAACAUCUUAAAGUACUUAACUGGAACUAAGGAUGUGAUUAAAAUUCAUGGUGGGUCUAAAUUAAAACUAGAGGGCUUAACAGACUCAAGUUUUUUAGACAGACCAAGACGACAGAAAAUCCACUUUAGGGUAAAGGGUUACCUUGAACAGUGGUGCAGUGAAUUGGAAAGGUUCCAAACAGCAAAGAAUUGCUUGUUUAGUGAUAAAGAUAAAGUAUAUAGCUGUAAAUGAAGCUGCAAGUUGAUUGUUUGGAUAUAAGUUCAUUACAGAACUAGGAAUAGUUCCUAAGUCUCAUCUUGGAUCUAAACAUGUGUUGUGGCACUUUCAUUUGAUUAUAGGAAUCAUUGAAAGAUGAGAAAUCACUAUAGAGAAAGUGGAAUUUCAAGAACAACAUUGCAUAUCCAUUAACUAAAGCUUAUCUAACAGAAGGAUAAUCAUAACUUAGAGAAGAAAUGUAUGAGAUACCAUGACGAUUGGCUUUGGUGCAAGUGGGAGAUUGAAAGUAAUAUGCACACAAGCCAAUCAUGUUUGAUGAUAAAGCAUAUACUUUGUAACAAUCUUAUUCAUUUAUUAAUAAAAAGUAUUAAUUUAUUAAAGGCUUUUAAUUAUCUACAUGAUGCUGUUUUAUAAUAUUUGAUAAACCCGUAGUUUUAAGCAAUGCUUUUAGAAUAAUGAUGAUGAUCAUUCUAAUGAGAUCUAAAUUCUUAGAAAGCUUAAAACUAAAAUAGUUCCCAAUCGUUGGAUUACUAAAUUGGGGAUUAGUGAAUCCGGAUAGAUUGGUACAUACGUUGCUUGCUCAUUGGAUGAGGAUGAUUGAUCUCAUGAUCAUUUGUGUGGAGACACUAAAGCAAGUAUGUAGGUGCUUAUUAGAGAAUAAGUUCACUGAACGUGGCUCGCUAAGGAAUACCUAAUGGAGUUUUACUUGCCUGUCAAUAGGAAUUCCUGUAGUGAUAGUAGUACAAGUGAUCCUUGGACUUGAGAUCAUCAUAGUAUCUUGUGUAUGAUGAGUUAUACUUUGACUUAUUCCUUAAGACCCUUAGGGUAUAUCAAAGGGUAUGCUUGGGUAUAAUAAGUUGUACAUGGAGAUAAUGUAUGAUCAAUAAAGAAUCUACCACUUCUAGUAAAAGAAGAGAAAUGUCCUAUGUGAUUCGAUAAAUGACAACCCAGUAGUCCUUGGCCAAGGCAGAAUGAAAUUAGAAAGGAGUUUCUAAUUUGCAUUAUUUGGAGUUGUGCAUUUAAGAGUCGAAAUACAUAUAAUUAAAUAAAAUAAGACUUGACAGUAAUUCCAUGUCUUAUAUUUAAUUGGGACAUUGUAUGGUGGAAGGAUUGAAUUGUACGGUAACUAUUUACUCAAAGGUUCUUUUAUGAUUAAUGUUGAAAUCUAUAUUAUCUGGAAAGUCGUUGAUCGCUAGGGAGGCUUAUCCCUAUUGUAGAAUAAAUAUUAUUUAUUUAAAUAAAUUAAUAGUUUAAUUUAUUUAUUUAAAUAAGAUUAGAAUUGUUCUAAUUGAUUUAUUCACAACCGGUUUAAUAUGGAGAACCUAAAGGGUCACACCAUAAAAGGAAGAAUAAUUAUUUAAGAAGUAAAUGGCAUAAUCGUAAUAAUAAGUUAAGUAUAUUUAAUUUAAUCUAUGGUGAUAGAAUAAAUUAAAUAGCUUAAUAUUUAUUAUUUAAUAUUUUGGAAAUAUUAAAUAUAAAUUAAUAAGAGGAGUCUUAUUAUUAUUAUUACUAUUAUUAUUAUUAUUUAAUUCCUAAAAGUGUUUGGGAAUUAAUUAAUAAAAUUACUCUCAUAUAUUCCUAAUAAGAUUAGGAGUUUAAUUAAUUAAAAGAGUUUAAUUAAUUAUCUCUAAUAAGAUUAGGGAGCUUAAUUAAUUAAAAGAAUUUAAUUAAUUAAAUAAAACCCAAUUCCUUAAUUGUUAAGGAGAGUUACCAACAUCUAUAAAUAAGAAGAGUCUUAUUAUGGGUGAGGUGGUUGACACUUUCACAACACGUGAAUACGUAAUUUCAAUAGUUGAGAGAGUACGCCUUUUCUAUAGAGACAGAAAACUAGGGUUUUGCCAAAUACCCAUCUUCUUGAAUUCUUCUUCUUCCUUGGUGGAUCACCUCUAGAGGCUAAACAUUUGGGUGGCUAACGUUGAUUAAAGGAAGGAACCAAACCCGGUGGAUUCAAGUUGAACGCGAAAAGGAUUGGAGGUGAACUUAUACCUGAGGAAGCUCGGAUCUUCAAGGGUAUGGUUCUUGUUCUUUCUUUUUCGUUUAAUUAAUAAUUGUGCAUAAAGGGUGAUCCGGGUAUAUGGUUUGUAAAAUUUUUAAACUCUGAUUUUUACACGUUUUCGCUUUAUUUGUGCAAUUUGAUUGCGUUUAUGAAUAUUACAAACCUAACACACAUAUCCUUGGCCCGUAAUGCAUGGAAUUUGUGGUCGUGACCCUAAUGAAUAUCCUUGGCCGUAGUGCAGGGAUGAUGUGGAUUAUUUAUUUAGCUGAGUCUCAGCGAUAAAAGUGAUGAAAAACUUUUUAAAUCAUAAAAGAUAGUAGAUUUUAUUCUCUACUUGACUCUUUUAAUGGAUUGCUUGUUCCGCUGUAGUUAAACUUGAUGUCUAUUGUAUUUUAUCAGUUUAACAUUGUUGGAGACUAAUGAUAAUUUAUUCUGCAUUAUCUUAGUUAUAAUAUUUCUUACUGGGCUAGUUGAUCUCACCCUUUCUUUCACACUUCUCUUCAUGAAAUGAGAACGUAGCGGGGACGAGUCGGGGAACAGAGUGACAGUCCAGAUGAUAGCAUUAGUAGUCCUCAUUAUUCUGUUAGAUAGUGUGACAAUAAAUGUAUUGAGGACUUAUUUGUGUUUGAAUGCUGUCUAGAUGACAAUAUUCGAGUUAAAACUCAUUGUAUAUAUUUUGUCGUAUCUUACACGACUGUUGUAUAAUUAGUUUGUAUUUGUAUUCAGUACCAUGUAAGUGGCGACUCAGAUUAGGUGAUGUAUACCUAAUUUUGGGGGCGUCACAGUUGGUAUCAAAGCUUAGGGAUAUGAUCCCUGGCUAAGAUGUGAGACAAGAACUAGGUGGGGAGAGACGGGGAAUUCUUUCGCUAAUAUGACCUGCUUAAGUUUAUUUGGUAUUUAAUUGGUCGGUCAGAGUAUAGAGAUAAUAUGUGAUAUGUUAUUUAACCCUUGUUUUGUGGCAGUAUUUGAAAAUGACAACCGAGAAUGUUGAGAAUAUCAAUGGAGCAUAGGAGACCGUUGAGUUUCCACAGAUCAAUAAUCAGGAUAAUGUGCAUCAGGAAGGAGACAUUCCUCAGGCAAACAACAACACUGACCAAAUGAUGAACGACGGAAUGUUCAGAGGCUUUAUGCAAUUCAUGCAACAUCAGGCAAGAGUGGCUCCUGUCCAAAAUGCUGGUAGAAACACUGGCAACUCUCGGACAGUGACCGCUAAGCAGUUCAAGGAACUGGGACCACCAGAGUUUAUUGGAGAGCCAAAACCACUUAAGGCGGAGACGUGGAUAAAACAGAUUACCAAGAUAUUUGAUGUCUUGGGAUGCUCCGAGGAACAAAAGGUUCCCUUUGCCACCUUCAUGUUGCGAGGAGAGGCAAAUUACUGGUGGGAAUCUGUAAAGCGUACUCAACCUNNNNNNNNNNNNNNNNNNNNNNNNNNNNNNNNNNNNNNNNNNNNNNNNNNNNNNNNNNNNNNNNNNNNNNNNNNNNNNNNNNNNNNNNNNNNNNNNNNNNNNNNNNNNNNNGAAUGUUUUUAAGAGGUUUGAAACCUGAGAUACGUCAAUAUCUUAUCUCUCAUAAACUGUGUUUGUAUUCAGAUGUUGUUAAUAGGGCUCAGUUAUUGGAGCGUGAUAAUGAGUCAUCCCAACCAAAAGAUAGCAACCGGCAUAAUGAUAAUACUAGUGAUAACAGUCAUCGAAGCGGUGACAAUAAGCGUGUAGGGAAUCAACAUGCCAGAAAUGGUAACCACUUCAGUGGUAAUCAUGGCCAAAAUAAUAAGAAUGAACAUUUUAAGAAGAGGAGAUUCAACAAUGAUGGAAAGACGUCAACAUCAGCACCUGUCGUUAAGGAAGGAGAACGACCACCUAUCAUAUGCUUCAAGUGUGGAGGAGAGGGACACAUCAGUCCCAACUGUGCGAUGCCAUCCAAAGCAUGUUACAACUGUGGAAGAGAAGGUCACCUGACCCAAUUUUGUCGUGCACCAAAGACAAGUCCAGCUGGGAUGGAGGCAUCAAAUGCAGUCCCAGAAAAUUCAAAGCCGGUAGUGCAAGGGAGAGCGUUUGUUGUAACCUCCCAAAAAGCAAAGAACCCGAACAAGGUCAUCACGGGUAAGCUUAUCAUAAACUCUAGCGAAGUUUAUACCUUAUUUGAUACCGGUUCUACCCAUUCUUUUAUUUCUCCUACUUGCGCUCAACGUUUAAAUUUGACUCUGGAGAAAUUGGACUUUAACUUAUCUGUUGAAACUCCAUUGGGAGAAACUUUCAUUACAUCCACGGUUUAUAAGUCUUGUUUGGUUUAAAUCGGUACCCUCACAUUACCUGUCGGUCUUAUUUCAUUAAAAAUACUUGCAUUUGAUGUGAUACUAGGGAUUGAUUUGUUAACUACUCAUCAUGCAAAAAUUAAUUAUUUUCGUAAGGUUGUUAACUUUCAUAUUCCUAACCAACCUAUUAUGCGAAUUCAAGCAACCAAACCAUUAAAAUCAAUCACUGUCAUCUCAAGCCAUAAAGCUAUUCGUUUAUUAAAAAACGGAUGUCAAGCUUUCUUAGCUCAUAUCACGGAUCUAAACAAAAAAACGUCAAUUUUGAAUGAUAUUUCUAUUGUUAAUGAAUUUCCUGACGUAUUUCCUGAAGAACUUCCUGGCCUACCCCCAGAGCGUGGAAUUGAAUUUUGUAUCAACCUUGAACCCGGUAAAAAACCCAUUUCCAAAGCCUCAUAUCGAAUGACUCCUAUUGAACUUCAGGAGUUAAAGACCCAACUGCAGGAAUUGUUGGACAUUGGCUUUAUUCGUCCUAGUACUUCUCCUUAGGGUGCUCCUGUUCUAUUCGUGAAAAAGAAAGAUGGGAGUAUGCGACUUUGUAUUGAUUAUCGGGAGUUGAAUCAUGUCACCAUCAAAAAUAGGUACCCAUUGCCACGUAUUGAUGACCUAUUUGACCAGUUUCAAGGAGCCAAAUUGUUUUCAAAGAUUGAUCUUCAUUCCGGAUAUCACCAAUUGAAGAUUAGAACAGAUGAUAUUCCAAAGACGGCUUUCAGAAACUCGGUACGGGCAUUAUGAAUUCCUAGUCAUGUCUUUUGUAUUGACUAAUGCUCCUGCUGCCUUCAUGGAUAUGAUGAACCGAGUAUUCAAGGAAUAUUUGGAUCACUUUGUAAUCGUCUUUAUUGUUGACAUCCUUAUAUAUUCCAAAACCUAAGAAGAUCAUGAGCAACAAUUGAGGCUGAUACUCCAAAAGCUUCGUGAAUAUAAGCUUUAUGCCAAGUUGAAGAAAUGCGAGUUUUGGCUUGAGGAAGUAGCAUUCCUUGGGCACGUAGUAUCAAGUCAUGGAAUAUCUGUUGACCCAGCAAAGAUUGAAGCCAUUCAAAGCUGGGAACAACCUAAAUCAGUGACCGAAGUACGUAGCUUUCUCGGCUAAGCUGGUUAUUAUCAGAGAUUCGUAGAAGGGUUUUCUCGAAUCACUACUCCAUUAACUCAACUGACUCGGAAAUAUACAAAAUUUGGUUGGAGUGAAGAAUGUGAGAAAAGUUUUCAAGAACUCAAGAGAAGACUCAUUUCAUCACCUGUUCUGACAAUACCAUCUGGCUCGGAGGGAUUUGUCAUCUACAGUGAAGCUUCGGACAAAGGGUUAGGAUGUGUUCUCAUGAAACAUGGGAAAGUCAUAGCCUAUGACUCAUGAUAACUCAAAGAAUAUGAGAGGAAUUAUCCUUCUCAUGAUCUAGAGUUGGCAGCUAUUGUCUUCGCACUUAAAAUUUGGAGGCAUUACUUGUAUGGGGAGAAAAUGGAGAUCUUUACGGAUCAUAAAAGCCUCAAAUAUUUCUUCACUUAAAAGGAACUCAACAUGCGACAACGACGUUGGCUUGAACUAUUGAAAGAUUAUGAUCAUACCAUCCAAUACCAUCCUGGAAAAGCGAACAUGGUAGCUGACGCAUUGAGUAUAAGAUCAUAUGCGGGUACGAGUGCGAUAUUGUCAACGCAAAGACCCAUUUUUUAUGACUUGUAAAGGAUGGAGAUAGAGAUAAAGACUACAGGGACCCAUGUGAUGAUGGCGAAUAUACGAGUAGAACUGACUUUAAUUGAUAAAGUUAAAGUUGCUCAAACUGCAGACCUGGAGCUGAUGCGUAUGAGGAAGAAAGUGUAAGAAGGUGCUAUGCCGGAAGCAAGAAUCGAUGAAGAAGGAAUACUUCAAGUCAACUCCAGACUUUGUGUUCCUAAUGACCCUGAUUUAAAGUAUAAAAUUAUGAUGGAAGCGCACAACACACCGUUUGCAAUCCAUCCUGGGAGUACCAAAAUUGUAUCAUGAUCUUAGACAUACAUUUUGGUGGGGCAAUAUGAAGAGAGAGAUAGCGUUGUUUAUCUCAAGGUGUCUAACUUGUCAACGAGUCAAGGCGGAGCAUCAAGUACCAAAAGGUCCAUUGCAACCACUUGGAAUUCUAGAAUGGAAGUGGGAGCACAUUACCAUGGAUUUCGUUACUGGUCUUCCCAAGGUUUCUCAAGGCAUAGAUGCAAUUUGGGUGAUUGUUGAUAGAUUGACCAAGUCUGCUCAUUUCUUACCAAUACGAGAAACUUAUACACUUGAAUGUCUUGCUCGUAUGUACAUAAACGAGAUUGUAAGACUGCAUGGUAUGCCAGUACCCAUAGUUUCUGAUCGAGACCCAAGAUUCACUUCACGAUUUUGGGUUAGUUUCAAAAAGCUAUAGGCACGGAUUUACGAUUUAAUUCAGCAUAUCAUCCUCAGACGGACGGACAAUCAGAGCGGAUUAUUCAAACUCUUGAAGAUUUAUUAAGACUCUAUGUCCUUGAUUUCAAGGGAAGUUAGGACAAGUUCUUACCGUUGGUGGAGUUUUCAUACAACAACAGUUAUCAAGCAAGUAUUGGCAUGGCUCCAUUCGAGGCGUUGUAUAGAAGAAAGUGUCGUUCUCCAGUAUGUUGGGAUGAGGUGGGUGAAGCAACGUUGUUGGGACCGGAGUUGAUACGUAUGACUACGGAAAAGAUUCAAACGAUCCGACAAUGUAUAAAAACCUCACAAGAUCGACAAAAGAGUUAUGCUGAUCUUCAUCGAAAAGACGUGGAAUUCGAUAUUGGAGAUCAUGUUUUGUUACGUGUUGCUCCAUGGAAAGGAGUUACGAGAUUUGGAAAGAGAGGAAAGCUCAAUCCUCGAUUCAUUGGCCCAUUUUUAAUCCUCGAUCGGAUAGGAACUGUGGCCUAUAGACUCGCUUUACCGCCAAGUAUGUCUCGUGUUCAUAACGUUUUUCACAUAUCUAUGUUACGUAAAUAUGUGGAAGACCCGAAUCACAUUAUUGAGUUAGAACCGGAUGAAAUAGCGAAAGAUUUAACGUAUGAAGAAGUUCUUGUUCAAAUCUUGGAUAGGAAAGAACAUAUUCUACGCUCCAAGGUUAUACCUCAAGUCAAAGUUUUAUGGAGGAACCACGAUGUUGAGGAAAUGACCUGGGAGUUAGAAUCUGAAAUAAAUUUAAGGUAUCCUUAUCUCUUCGACAUACCAGGUAUGUACCCUAAUUUCGAGGGCGAAAUUUCAUAAGAAGGGGAGAUUGUAAGACCCCACUUUUAUGAAUAAAAAUAAAUUUUUCUAUAAUUAUCCUUUUUGAAUAUUAUGGAGUAAAUUUGAUAUAAUGUUAUAAUUGUGGGUAAUAUUUACAAAUUUUGCAAAGUAUGCAAGUGGUUAUAUAAUAUUCGAUUGGUCGGGGAAUAUUCGCUUUAACAGAGAAUAUUCGUACAACGGUGCAAUCAUUGGUAGACCCCACAACAGAAUUAUUGUCGGAUUGAGAAAACGACAAAAAUAUUUUAUGAAAAUAACGGCGAAAAUUUUACCGUUAAUACUGUUGAACUACUCGGUAGUAAAAGUACAGUAAUAUGCGUGGUUGCAUAGUAGCACACGGUAUUGAUUAUUGAUGCUUACGUGAGAAGUCAUUCAGUUUUAUUCAAUUAUUGCUAUAGUAAUUGUUGCAUAGUAUCUCACGUUAUUUGAUUCAAUUAUUGUCGAUAUUGUAUAUAUUAUUAAAUCAAUAAUUGAGACGACAAAGUUAUUAAUAUUAUUAUUUUCAAUAUUAACGAUGUCUAGAAGUUCUGUCAAGGAGAGGUUAGGUAAUUGCGCGCCAGUGAGGGAAAUCCUUACCGGAAGGCCCCCUCUAUCCUGGGAAUAACCUAAUCGAUUAAUAUUGUGAAUUGUAAUAAAGAUGAUAAAUGUUGUUAAAAUUAUUGAGAUAAUUUUUAUGAAGUCUGCUUAUUUUAUGGAUUCCUAUUUACCCAUUUUUCAAAAUAAUCGGUAGAAAAUUAUUUAAAUAUGGGGCCCACAUGUGGGGGCCACGUGUGGGGCCCAUAUGUGUUGAAAAACUAAUUUUGGAAAUGGGGGUGGGAGAGAGAUACGUAUAGGGGAGGGAAUUUAUGUAUAUAAGGUUGUCGUGUGUGUAUAUAUAUAAUAUAACAUUAUGUGAGUGGGAAAUGGUGGGGAAAUGAUGUUGUUUUAUAAAAGGUAGUUAGUAUUAUAUGUGAAUAUAUGUUUAUAACAUGUGUGUUAUAUAUAUAUAUAUAUAUGUAUUAUUAUUUUUGUUUUAUUCUUAUUGGUUGGAGGUUUGACAAAAUUGCAUCUUGAGUUGUAAAAAUUAUCAUCCGAUAAUUUGCAUUCCUAACACAGUAUCUUCUAUUCUCCUAUAAAUAGAAGCUCAUUCCUUCAUUAUUUUUUACGAAUUCACUGAAACUCUAGAGAGAGAAAUUAUAGAGAAACUAUAGAAAAGUAUUAUGCUACUUCCCUACUCUUAUAUCCAGUUUCUUUUACGGUAAGGGAUAUUAUUUCUUUUAUUCAUGAAGAGAACUUCUGUUAUUCCAUUUCUUUAUUAUUCUGUUGGAAUAACCUGUAUACGCGGGCUACCCUAUACUUGGUGACAUUCUUCUAUUAUUCUGUUGGAACAUUCUGUCUGCGUGUUUUACACCGGACCUGGUUUCGUCUUUAUUAUUAUUCUGUUGGAACAUCCUGUCUGUGUGUUUUACACCGGAACUGGUUCCGUUAUUUAUUAUUCUGUUGGAAUAACCUGUCUAUGCGAAGUACCGCAUGCAUGGUGAUUUCUUUUGUUAUUCCUUUCUUUAGUAUACUCAGUUGGUUAAAGUUUUGAACUUCUAUACUCCAUGAAAUUAGUAGAAUAUCCUUGAUAUUUGCGCUUCAUCCAAUAUCUUUUCAUGGAAAUAUUCUUCUGAGCAUUCUUGAAUUUUACACCACAAAAUAAUAUUUUGUUAACAAUUGGGACGUUAUUGUUUCUUGGAUAAAUUAAUUCUUGAACUUGUUUUAUUGAAUUCAUAUAUCAUUGUCAUCAUCCUCAUGUUUAUAUUAUGUUGAAAGUCAUCUGUGGCCUGUAGUGCGUAGAUGGACUUGGUAUGAUUAUGAACAGGGAUUAUUCGGUAUAAUCAUGACCGUAAUAUUACAAAUGAUGUGGUAAAAGUUCUCAUUGGCCCAUAGUGCAUUGAUGGACAGUUAUUGGUAUGAUCAUGACCAUUGAUGAAUACACAAAUAUCAUUGGCCCGUAAUGCAUGGAAUUUGUGGUCGUGACCCUAAUGAAUAUCUUUGGCCGUAGUGUAGGGAUGAUGUGGAUUAUUUAUUUAGCCGAGUCUCAGCGAUAAAAGUGAUGAAAAACUUUUUAAAUCAUAAAAGAUAGUAGAUUUUAUUCUCUACUUGACUCUUUUAAUUGAUUGCUUGUUCCGCUGCAGUUAAACUUGAUGUCUAUUGUAUUUUAUCAGUUUAACAUUGUUGGAGACUAAUGAUAAUUUAUUCUGCAUUAUCUUAGUCAUAAUAUUUCUUGCCGGGCUAGUUGAGCUCACCCUUUCUUUUACUGUUCUCUUCAGGAAAUGAGAACGUAGCGGGGACGAGUCGGGGAACAGAGUGACAGUCCAGAUGAUAGCAUUAGUAGCUCUCAUUAUUCUGUUAGAUAGUGUGACAAUAAAUGUAUUGAGGACUUAUUUGUGUUUGAAUACUGUCUAGACGACAAUAUUCGAGUUAAAACUCAUUGUAUAUACUUUGUCGUAUCUUACACGACUGUUGUAUAAUUAGUUUGUAUUUGUAUUCAGUACCAUGUAAGUGGCGACUCAGAUUAGGUGAUGUAUACCUAAUUUUGGGGGCGUCGCAGUUGUCCCUAAUUUCCUCAGCCUUGCACCAUAUUUAUAAUAGUAAAAGGAACCCUAAUCCUUUAAAGAAAUAACAAAUUGAUUUGGAAUCAAAAAUCUAUCUAAAAAGCUUCCUAAUUACAAUAGAAUUGAAAAUUUUCUUAAAAUUACUAAAUAAUAAUUAGACUUACUUGACUACUAAUUAAUAAAAAAAAUAUCAAAUAUUUAAAUUUUCCAUAAAUACCAAAACAUAAAUUAUAUAGAAUCUUAUAGAUAACUCUUCCCGUGUCAUUCUCCUUUUCUUGGAGAAACUUCAACCUCAAAUUUUAAAAUGAAGUAAUAUCAAGUCCCAACCGUUAGACAUUCGCAAUCUUUUUUGUACCAUGUAGUAAUGAUGUUGUUUCUCAAAGAAAAAUUUUGAAAAUAAUUUUGAAGUAAUCAAAGCCUUCAUAUUAACCUGCACUUGCAACAAAUGACUAGGAACGAUGAAAUCAAAAUUUUCCAACUUGUCGAACACAUGAUUAUGACUAAUCUCAAUUUUUACGAUGUCCGUAUCCUUGUGUCGCGUUGACUCCAAAUCAUGAUCCUCUUCAAUCACUAAACUUGAUCCGUCUUUAACUAUAAUCUCUUCCUCAACUUCCUCCUUCGUGUCUUCCACACUCUAUUAUAACGAACAAAUCAUAUGGAACAGACAAAUCACACUUUCUAUUAGAAAUAGGAUUGAUGACAUUACAACUUUCUUGCGAAUUUUUCUUGUUGGCUAUAAUAAUUUUGCAACACCUUCUAACUUCAUUAAAAAAAGAAAUAUCGUUUCGACGCACUUCUCUAGCUCUUUUUUUCUCAACUUGAUACUGAUGUUUCAAUUCGGCAAGUCUAUAAUGUGUUUCUUCUUAUUCCUCCAAAAGAUCAUCAUAUUGGGGCAACAAGUUUUUACGAUGAGUAACAUAAAUCUCAUAAUCGAAUCAAUCACAUUCACUCUUAAGGAAAUCAAUAUGAUCCCAUACUUGUUCAAUCUGGUCUACAUUUCCGAUACACCAUAUGCACCAAACUCAUCCUCUCAUCAGAAUCAGAGUUAUCUCUCCUACGUUUCUGUCCAUGCCCCCGAUAGUUAAUAUGUAGCCUGUUAUCUCCGUCAGUGUCACGAUCAUCACCUUGACGCAUGUCGACCAUACCAAAUAGUGCUCUUUCAAUCCUAUCGAACUUUUCGUUGACUGUCACUGCUAAAUCUCCGAAACUAACGUCCAACUUAUUGAGCCUACCAAUUAGAAUCCCAAUUAUGGCCAAUAGAAUAUUGAUCAAGAUUGUUUACUUUUGGUUGUGAAAUCAAGACUUGUAAUGGUCUGGACGGGGCCUACUUCUGUACGUAUCUAAUCAAAGUGUCCUUUAAACCCCUCCUUUUUUUGGUUCAUCGUACUACACACCAUAUAACUCUUCUUCUUAAUUUCUUGAAUAAAAGUCAAUAGUUUAGAUCAUUCAAUUUUAAGAAAAUUACAUCCUAGUGCGUGCUAGCUAGCUGGUUGUGGACUUAUUUGGAGUUGUAAAGAUUAACGAUGAUAGAGGGGAGGGGAGGGGAGGGCUGCAUGUGUCAUCUUCCAGUCUUAUAACCCGAAUGACAAAUUUUGUCUGAAUCAUCAUUUAAUUGUGUGGGCCACCCAAGUAAUUUCCGCAACCAUCAUAGAAUUAGGAACCUUCCUACCUACUAUUUAUUUCAUCCGUCCUUUAAUAUAAGAUUUUUUAUCUUAUAAGUUGUGCACAAGUAUUAAGGAAAUAAUUAUAUAACAUUAAAUAUAAUAUCAAAUGUCUAUAUUGCCCUUGUAAAAAAAUAUUAUUAUUUAUUGGACAAAAAAUAGUAAAAGAACCAAAGUUACAUUUAAUACUUAGGGUAAUAUUGAAAACUAAACAAUUAAUGCUUACUUGAAAUUAUAAAACGUCAUAUAUUAAGAAACGAAAAAAACUUCUCUAAAACGUCUUAUUAUAUUAAGGGAGGGAUGGAGGGAGUAAUAUUCUUCGUGCUCGGGACUCUGGAAUUGAUGUGGAAUCCACAACGUACGAACGAAUUAGAAGAAAAUGAUCAAGUGGUUAUUGGUGUCCACACAACAAGAUCACCAACACCAAUCGCAAAAUGUUCGAUCGUUACCAAUUACUACUCCCUCCGUCUCUAUUUAAAUGACGUUUUAGAGAUGAGCACAAGCAUUAAGAUAAUGAUUGGAAAUCAUUAAAUAUAGUACUCAAUUGUCUAUAAUACCCUUAAAUCUUUUGUUGGGAUAAAGAUAGUUUUGUUGGGAUAAUAAUAGUUUUUUUGGGAUAAGGAGAGAGAAAGAGUUUAAAGUAAGUAUCAAAAAAGUAGGAAGAAUAAUGAGGGGUAAUUUUGGAAAAAUUGUCAUUAAUUCUCCUAGAUUUAAACAAACGUCAAAUAAUUAAGGACAAAUGAAAAACUCUAAAACGUCAUUUAAAUAGGGAUGGAGGGAGUAAUUCACAACGCGUCACAAUUAGGCCAAGACGUAAUUGACAACGCAACAAAUGUAAUAACAACAUAACAAAUGUAAUAACAGUGAUGCAAAAUUUUUGAAAAUUUUACCUUUAUCCUUUCUCAAUUAAUGAAAUUUCUUAAGGUUAUUAAUUGGGAUUGCAUAAAAAUUUAAAUUGUUAUUUCCCAUAUUUCUUUUGCGUUUACAAUUAGAUUGUAAGCUUUAAUCUUGUUUCCGCCCAAACAAGAUAACCAAGACCACUUGCAUCUUCUUCUACAUCCUUCCCAUAAGAAUAUGUUGGGCAUACUACACAUUAAUAAUGAGAGAGAAAUCCAGAAUUCCAGAUCAAUAGAAAGCAGUGUUUCCAUCAUUUUGCUUUACUCCACUUUGAUAUUAUCUUCCUUGAUAACCCCCUCCAAGGCAGGACCCACCAUAACUGCAAAUCAAACCAUUAGAGAUGAUGUCAAUGACACAAUUCAGUCAGCUGGUGGAGUAUUUGAGCUGGGAUUUUUCAGCCCCGGUAGCUCCAAGAAUCGAUAUUUGGGCAUAUGGUACAAGAAGAUAAGAAAAACAACAGUUAUAUGGAUUGCUAAUAGACAGACUCCACUUAGUGACACUUCAGGCGUGUUAAAAGUGGACACUAAGAAUUUGGUACUAAUGGAUGGUAGAGAGAGCAUAAUCUGGUCAUCAAACUCAUCCGCCAGAGGCCUAAAGAAUAAUCCUGUUAUGGCAGAGCUGUUAGAUACAGGAAAUUUUGUUGUCAGGUAUGAAGAUUACACUAACAAUGACCAAGUCCUUUGGCAAAGUUUUGAUGAUCCUACAGAUAAUCUUCUACAAGGCAUGAAGCUUGGAUGGGACUUGGUAAAGGGUAUAGACAGGUACCUCACAUCCUGGAAAAGUGAUGAUGAUCCUUCUCCAGGUAAUUACAUGCAAAGUGUGAGUCGGGAUGGAUAUCCACAGAUGUUUGUGUGGAAAGGUUCAGCUGCGCAGUUCAGGUUUGGACCAUGGGAUGGUAUACAGUUCAGUGGCGUGACAUUUUCUAGACCGGACCCAAGUUUUCAAUUGUCUCUUGUUCGCAAUGACAAGGAAAUCUAUUUGAAAUUUGACAUUACCGGUAGUAUUGAUCCUGUGAGGUUUGUGUUGCUUUCGAAUGGAUCAAUACAAGGUCUGUCAUGGAGGGAUCAAACCCAAAACUGGGUAGAAUAUCUAAGUGUAGAGCGGGAUGCUUGUGAUCAGUACGCAAUAUGUGGGGCAUACGGUAAUUGUAAGUAUACCAAAUCGCGAAAUGAGGCAACCUGUGGAUGUUUGGGAGGAUAUGAGCCAAAAUCUCCAGAAAGAUGGAAAUUAGCAGACUGGUCUAAUGGGUGUGUCCGUAAAACUCCAUUCGAUUGUGGGAAUGGAUCAGACAUAUUUGUCCAGUACACGGCUCUGAAAUUGCCAGAUACACAGAAAUCAUGGUUUAAUCAAACCAUGGCCCGUGAUGACUGUGAGAAGCAGUGCAGGAAGAAUUGCACUUGUACAGGCUACUCAAAUACAGAUAUCAGACAAGGUGGAACUGGAUGCUUGUUAUGGUUUGAUGAGUUGCUUGAUAUCAGAGAUUUCAGGGACACUGGGCUAGUAUUUUAUGUAAGAACUGCAAGCUCAAAAUUAGGUAAUCAUUAUUAAGUCUACUUUUUCCCACUAUGUUUUACAGCUCAGUGCAUCUAGUUGGUUCAAAUUUAUUGUGUUCAUGUUGUUCUUUUGGCUGCACAGAUGCAAAUAAGAGUCUAAGGAAAAAGAAGGGUGUGAAUACCACCAGUACCAUAGUCAUUGUUGCAUUAGUAGUGCCAACAGUAGUAGUAGUAGUAGUCCUAUUUCUGAUUUUCGUAUUGAGAAAGAGGAAGCUCAGGAGAAGGCCGAGGAGAAGAGGUAACAUGUGUUCUGAUUCAAGAAACUUGAAAUUUUCAUUAAACAAAUUACAAAAGGAAAAAUAGUACUUAUGCUGGCUGUGAGAUUUGCAGAUACAGGCUAGAUUUUAAUAUGAAAUAGACAAAAUUAAGAGAACUCAUUUGGGUUCGAAAUUCUCAACAGGUUUUAGCAACUUUGUACUUGAAGCAAAUGCUCACUGUUUGCUUUUCACUUCUCACUGUGCAGGAAGAUUAGCAUUCAACCCACAUAUUGAUGCCAGAAAUGAAAAUGAGAGGAAAGAUCUGGAGCUACCAUUAUUUGAUUUCCAAUCAAUUGCUAAUGCCACAAACAACUUUUCCCAAAACAAUAAACUUGGAGAGGGUGGGUUUGGACCUGUCUAUAAGGUAAAUACAUACUCUCUCCAUUUCAAAAUAUAAGAUCAAGUUCAAGUAUAUAUGAGAUAUUUUCAAAAUUGAUGCGAUUCAUUUUACUUACAAAAAAAUAAAUUACUAAAAUUGAAAUCAAUUUUGAAUUAAAAAUAUAUCAAAAAUGACUAUCAGUAUUAAUACAUGUAUGCAAUGUUUUAUCUUAAGCAUCAUAAAUGAUACCACAAGGCAGGCACCAAGAAUAUUACAACCAAUCUAUCACAAAAUUUAAUUUACAGAACAAAACUUGUCAUAUUGAGUGAUUAUGAAUUCAGAACCAUUUACGAUUUUUGUUAAAAGGGAGUGAAAUAUUACUACAAUGUACGGCUAUGUUGUUGAGCAAAAUACGAAACUACCUAGAUUAUUGUUUUCAGGGCAUCUUGGGCCAGGAACAAGAAAUAGCUGUUAAGAGGCUCUCAAAGACUUCAAGACAAGGACUAGAAGAGUUCAAGAAUGAAGUUUCGUGUAUAGUCAAACUUCAGCACCGAAAUCUUGUGAAACUUCUGGGAUGCUGUAUUGAGGAGGGUGAAAUAAUGUUGAUAUAUGAAUACAUGCCCAACAAAAGUUUAGACUCGUUCAUUUUCGGUAUGGCUUUCCUGAAAAUGUUGGUAAAUUUUGUUAGCUUUUGACAGUCUGAUGGAUUAUUAUAGUCCAGAAUAAUCAAAGUUAUUUUCAUGAAGAAUUAUUCAGUAAAAAAACAAUGUAGUGAAUAACUUGGGCAAUAUUUUGUACAGACAAGGAAUUAAGAAAAUUACUGGAUUGGCCAAAGCGCUAUAACAUUAUAAAAGGCAUUGCUAAGGGGCUUUUAUAUCUUCACCAAGACUCGAGGCUAAGAAUUAUUCAUAGAGAUCUGAAAACCAGCAAUAUUUUACUUGAUUAUGAUAUGAGUCCAAGAAUUUCAGACUUUGGCUUGGCAAGGACUUUUGGAGGAAACGAAACUGCAGUAAACACAGCAAAAGUUGUUGGGACAUAGUAAGAAUCUCUAUAACACCUCAAGCUUUCUAUUUUCCAUGUCAUGAAGCUAAUACAUUCUUCAAUCUAUUUUUAUAGCGGUUACAUGGCCCCCGAGUAUGCCAUUGACGGAUUAUUCUCCGUUAAAUCUGACACUUAUAGCUUCGGUGUAGUAGUUCUAGAGAUGGUGAGCGGAAAGAAAAUCAGAGGAAGCUGUCAUUCAGAAAACAACCUCAACCUUCUUGGACAUGUAAGUACCAAGAAUUCAAUAUUGUAUCCUACAUUCAUUUAUUGUAUGGUUAGCAGCUGCUGAUAUAACCAUUUCAAAUCGCAUAGGCAUGGAAACUUUAUAAAGAGGGCAAAACUUUGAAUCUUAUUGAUGAGGCAUUUGUGGAGUCAUGUAAUCAGUCAGAAGUUUUCCGAGUGGUCCAAAUUGGGCUAUUAUGUGUGCAACCAUAUCCAAAAGACAGGCCGAAUAUGAGAUUUGUUGUUUCAAUGCUGGGUAAUGACAAUGAGCUACCCCAACCGAAACAGCAACCUGGUUUUUUCACUGAGAGGAGAAUGCAGGAGGACCCAGAUUCUUCAUCAAGCAACCCAGGAUCAUUUUUAUCUAAUGAUCAUUUGUCUGUUACAUUUUUUGCCCCUAGAUAGUGCACUCUAGAUUUAUAUUUUUUUUACUUCAAACUAAACGGUUUGGUUUAUACAUUAAUAGAAGAACAAAACCAAUAAAAUAGUAAAUUUUCCCCCAAACACCUACAAAUCUGAAAAACUAGAAGAACAUUUAUAAAUUUAUCCGAUAAGAAAGCAAUGUAUGUAUAAAUUUGAUUGAAUAUAGUGGGAGAUAGAGAUAGAUCUGGCGAACAUGAAGCCAAGCCAACAUGGCUCCAACCUCUGGGGGAAUCAGUGCAAGUAUUUGUAUAUAGUUUCACUAGUUAAUAAGCCGUAGCCAAAUUAUCUGCACUCUACAGUAGCUAGGAUUUCAGAAUUUAACCUUCAUUGCUUGCUUGUAGUACCCUUGAUUAAUCAUAGAUCUCCGGGGGAAAAAACACAAGAUGGGUUGGCAGUCGCAAUGUAAUUAAACGUAGACAAAAUAAAACAACUUAAAACAGUCGAGGGGCACUAUCAUAAUACUGAAUCAUCGUUAACAGAUCUACAACAGUAUAGGUUGAUAAGAGGUUCACUGAGUUCUUUGACAACUUGAUAGACCCGUAACAGAUCUGGCAGCAAAUAUUGAAACUAAAAAUACAAAUAAUUAAGAAGCUGACCAUCAACUUAGUACUUUAUGCCACCUUCAAUGAAUCAGCUGUGGAGCCAUACUAGCAUAGAAUUCAUAUCUGAUUUACACCCCAAAUCAAAGAUCCAGUUGCCGAGUCCAUGCUUAGCAUCCGUUUCUUCCCAACAACUGGAGAUACUUCUAAAGGUAAUCCUGCAGGACUCUCGUGUGAAGUCAGGCAGCUUUCAGUGGAACAAUCGGCCCUUUGAGGACGGACUCUGGGUGGCACUACUUCAGGACCGUGGACUCUGAUUACCCCAGCAGAUUGUAAAUGGUACAAGUCACGAGACUCUUGGGAGGAAUCAGGUAGUAUCUUAUAUCCGGGACCAUGAUAAUUUUGUCUGUCGAUUUCUGCUACUGCAUCUCCAAUAAUUUGAUCAGCGAACAACUUACAAGCCCUCUCAAGCAUGGCCAUAUACCUCUGUUCUGCAUCCUGGCGAAUCUGCAAAUGCUUCUCAGCCUACAAAAAUUCAAGAUAGAACAGCUAAGUGAUCUUAUAUGCAGACCAUAUUAAAGUGAGAUGAUUAGUUGGCAUUUAACCAAUGAUUAAUCACUACACUGUAUGCACGUUAGUUAGCUGUUAUGCUUUGUUAAAUAAAAUAAUAAAAAACGAUGCAAACUUUAUAUUGCACUUUUUCCUCACUGGAAGAAUAUACAAGGAACCUGAUUCGAGGAAUCCAAAAAUGAAGCUUACUUCGACUUGUAGGUGUAGCUUACUUUGCACUUCCAUUUGAGCUCUCAAUGCCUCCCUGACUUCAAAACCCCUAAACAUGGAAAAUAACCCCUCAAAAGAGACUCUAGAGCUUCAUAUACUGCAAUAAAAAUAAAAACUAGCAUUUGCACCACACAAUAAAAAAAAACAAAUACUGAACAAAAAACUGAGAACUUCAACACUUACUCGUUGACAUCAGAAGUCGGCAAGCUUUGAGAAGAAUUAUUGGCACGAGGACUUUCUACAAGGUAUGAAGCUGAGAUUCCAUCCAUUUGUAAAAGAAAUCAGUUUGAAGGUCAAGGCUCUAAGCACAUCAUACAAUUCUUAUGCAGCUUUCCUAAACAAUCUCUCUUCAAAAUAUGAUUCGUCUGGCAAGGUAAUUUUCUUUUUGAUAGGUUAGUCUAGCAACUCUUCAAGAAACCUUUUCACUGAUUAUGAUGGCUUUAAAUCAGAUUUCACAAUUAGAAAGUUUGAAAGCAAUCAGAGAGUUCUACAGUCAAUUGAUUGAUGGAACUCGAAGCCAAAUCAAUUAAGGUACCAUUAAUUUUUAAUUUUCUGAUAUGUAAACAUCAACCAAUAAAGUUCGGCAAUUAAAAGCAGCAGUAGUGAGUGAGAUCUAAUGUCAGUUGGCAUGCCCAUAUGAAGCAAUGGAGAGUGAAACUAAAUAUUAUGCACAUGUUGAAACGGAUCAUAAGAGUUGAAGCUGAACAUACCAUCAUUGAGAGCCUCGCUAAAAUCUUUCCCAGAUUGCUUUCCUAAUCUGUACUUCUGUUACAGAAAAAACAAACAUCAACUUAAAAUACUCGGCAAGUUUUUCAGCUCAUGCAAGCUUCAAUUCUGAAUUGAGUGAGGAUCAAAAUUUUGAUUUCCGGAAACGAACCUGCAGGUGACUCUUUAAAUGAAAGAGAGUCAGACCCUUUACACCCAUUGUCCGCAUUAUGGCCUUUGGGGUGGCUUCUGCAAUUAGUAUCAUUUCUUUCAGAAUAAUGAACUCUGAUGAUUUAAAGACCUAAAGAGUUUCGUACACUUGAUAAUCUUUAUUCAAAAUAAGAAACACUUAGAAACCGGUUAGAAAAUUGCAACAAAUAUCCAGCUCAAUCUCCACUUGUCAGCCUGAACAAAUAAAGAUCAUGCUUGAUCACUUAAAAAGCUGGCCCUGGCUUUGUUUAUACAGUCUUCUAUGGCUUAAUAUUUGUCACCAAUAGAGAACCGAAUCCUCCUAUUAUAAACUCUAUUAAGAAAAUAUCAUAAACUACGGAAACAGCUAUCCAUACUCAAUAGAUUAGACUUGAGAAAAAUAAUGUAAGCUCGAUAGAUAAAUAUUAAUCUCCUUAUGAAAAAUAAUGCAUAUUUUAUAGAUAGGUAUUAAUAGAUAAAUACUGAUCUCCUUAUGAAAACUACUGCAAACUGAAUAGAUAGAUAUGAAUAGAUAAAUAUUGAUCUCCUUAUGAAAAAUAAUGCGUGCUGAAUAGAUAGAUAUUAAUUUCCUUGUAUACUUAAUAUUCACUCUUAAUCGUGCAAAGAUUCUCAACACUAAUACUAAUGUUAGACGUGUUAACCGCGUCGACUGUUUAAACAGUAUAAUACAAAAAUUGUAAAAUUCGAAUAACAUGAUAAUAUCAUAUUUUAUUAGAUAAUAUCAUAAUAACAUGAUUUAUCUAAUACAAUAAGAUGUAUUCAACAAAAAUACAGGAUAAUAUGCUAUAAAAAUAACUAAGAAUUUUGUUUAUUUAAGACGGAUCAUGUCAUAUCAUAUUUUACAAAUUAACUAUUCCAAUUAAACAUUUCUAAUCGUGUGAAAACGUGGCUAGUUGUGUUAAAAACCUGGCUAAUUGUGUUAAACAUGUCAACUUGUUUAUAACAUGUAUCCAACUCAUUUGAAUUUCACCUUACACGUAUUGACCCGAUUAUGACACAAAACCGUUUAUACUCAACACUAAUCCUCUUAUCAUGCGUCAUGUUUCUGUCGUGUUACCUUGUUAGCCCUACGUUAUUAAUCAUAUCCACAAGUACUUCUACAAUAGCUUAUACAAAUGCUCCUCAUAUCCUUAUUCGUUUGAACUGCAUUUGCAGCCAAUAACCACCAACACGGGUUCUAGCUGAACCGAAUAAAUGAGUAGUCGACAGUGUUCUAAAAAUCGUUCGGCGGACCUCGGCGGCGGAGGGGCCGCCUAGGCGGUGAACUGUCAUUCUCCUAGGCGGACUAGACGUUUUCUUAGGUGGUCUCAUUUAUUUAUUUUUCUAUUGUACAUACUUGUUAUACUAUACAAAGCAUACAAUAUAUGUAAUUUUUUUAAUUUUACAUGAAACAUUACCGAAAAAACAAUGUUUAAAGGUUUAACAAAUUCAUUUUAAGUAUUGUAGAGCUUUAGGGGGGUGUAUUCAAUUAGGAUUUUUAAAGACUUUUAAAGACUUAAAAGUUUGGGUGUAUUCAAUCAAGACAUUUAAAGAGUUUAUAAAAGUUUAGUGGUAUUCAAUUACAACUUUUUUAAUGUCUUUAAAAGUUAGGUGGUAUUGAAUUAAGAUUUUUACAAAGUCUAUAAAAGUAUUUUGGUAUUCAAAAAGUCAUAGACUUUUCAGAUUUCUAUUAAAUGGUAGACUUUGACAGACUUUAGAAGAAGAAUUAUAACUAUCAACCCAUAUCCAAAGUUUGACCUCAUCUCUAAAGAUUUCUAAAGACUUNNNNNNNNNNNNNNNNNNNNNNNNNNNNNNNNNNNNNNNNNNNNNNNNNNNNNNNNNNNNNNNNNNNNNNNNNNNNNNNNNNNNNNNNNNNNNNNNNNNNNNNNNNNNNNNNNNNNNNNNNNNNNNNNNNNNNNNNNNNNNNNNNNNNNNNNNNNNNNNNNNNNNNNNNNNNNNNNNNNNNNNNNNNNNNNNNNNNNNNNNNNNNNNNNNNNNNNNNNNNNNNNNNNNNNNNNNNNNNNNNNNNNNNNNNNNNNNNNNNNNNNNNNNNNNNNNNNNNNNNNNNNNNNNNNNNNNNNNNNNNNNNNNNNNNNNNNNNNNNNNNNNNNNNNNNNNNNNNNNNNNNNNNNNNNNNNNNNNNNNNNNNNNNNNNNNNNNNNNNNNNNNNNNNNNNNNNNNNNNNNNNNNNNNNNNNNNNNNNNNNNNNNNNNNNNNNNNNNNNNNNNNNNNNNNNNNNNNNNNNNNNNNNNNNNNNNNNNNNNNNNNNNNNNNNNNNNNNNNNNNNNNNNNNNNNNNNNNNNNNNNNNNNNNNNNNNNNNNNNNNNNNNNNNNNNNNNNNNNNNNNNNNNNNNNNNNNNNNNNNNNNNNNNNNNNNNNNNNNNNNNNNNNNNNNNNNNNNNNNNNNNNNNNNNNNNNNNNNNNNNNNNNNNNNNNNNNNNNNNNNNNNNNNNNNNNNNNNNNNNNNNNNNNNNNNNNNNNNNNNNNNNNNNNNNNNNNNNNNNNNNNNNNNNNNNNNNNNNNNNNNNNNNNNNNNNNNNNNNNNNNNNNNNNNNNNNNNNNNNNNNNNNNNNNNNNNNNNNNNNNNNNNNNNNNNNNNNNNNNNNNNNNNNNNNNNNNNNNNNNNNNNNNNNNNNNNNNNNNNNNNNNNNNNNNNNNNNNNNNNNNNNNNNNNNNNNNNNNNNNNNNNNNNNNNNNNNNNNNNNNNNNNNNNNNNNNNNNNNNNNNNNNNNNNNNNNNNNNNNNNNNNNNNNNNNNNNNNNNNNNNNNNNNNNNNNNNNNNNNNNNNNNNNNNNNNNNNNNNNNNNNNNNNNNNNNNNNNNNNNNNNNNNNNNNNNNNNNNNNNNNNNNNNNNNNNNNNNNNNNNNNNNNNNNNNNNNNNNNNNNNNNNNNNNNNNNNNNNNNNNNNNNNNNNNNNNNNNNNNNNNNNNNNNNNNNNNNNNNNNNNNNNNNNNNNNNNNNNNNNNNNNNNNNNNNNNNNNNNNNNNNNNNNNNNNNNNNNNNNNNNNNNNNNNNNNNNNNNNNNNNNNNNNNNNNNNNNNNNNNNNNNNNNNNNNNNNNNNNNNNNNNNNNNNNNNNNNNNNNNNNNNNNNNNNNNNNNNNNNNNNNNNNNNNNNNNNNNNNNNNNNNNNNNNNNNNNNNNNNNNNNNNNNNNNNNNNNNNNNNNNNNNNNNNNNNNNNNNNNNNNNNNNNNNNNNNNNNNNNNNNNNNNNNNNNNNNNNNNNNNNNNNNNNNNNNNNNNNNNNNNNNNNNNNNNNNNNNNNNNNNNNNNNNNNNNNNNNNNNNNNNNNNAACCUACUCCACCCUUACCGUUUCAAGGAACAAAUACGGAGGCUUCCUUGUCCACCAAUGCUCAGAAAAAGCGAAAUAGAAUUGAUUUUGAAGGGAAUAAUAGCUCCAUUGAGACCACAACUCGAUUUAAUGUUUUAGAAAAACUUUCUGCUAGCAUUGACUCAAUUGCUACUGAUUUUCGGGGAAUCCAUAGCCUACUGGAGAAAAAGGAAAGAGAUAGUAGUUGUUGGGAUGCUAUCAAGGAGAUACCAAAUUUGGACAACCAAAUUCGUUACAAGGCGGUUGAAUUGCUUAAUACUAAAUCAAAGAAAGAUAUGUUCUUGAAAAUGUCACCAGAAGAGCGCUCAGAUUGGAUAACAUACAAAUUGUUAGAAUGAUUGCAAUUAUUGAGAUGAUGGCCCGAGUUGAGAAAUAUGCUCUAGUUGGUUUUUACAUUUAGUUUUGGCUUGUUAACAUUCUGAAUUUUGAUUUUGAUGUAUGUUCUAGUUGGUUUCUUUAAUUGGUGUUGGCAUGCCUAAUUAGCAUUUUGGAAUUUGGUUUGGAUAUGUGAUGUUUGGUUUUUGUAAUUGGUGUAAGCAUGUUUAACAUUAUGGGAUUUGGUUGAAAUAUAUGUGGUUGGUUUUUGUUAAUUGGUGUUACAAUUUCAUGGCUCCUACCAAUUUUUAUGCAACUAUUACAUGCUGCCUUCUACAGCUAAAUUCAUAUUAUAGCAGUUAGGAUUAUAUUAAUUUCGUACCAAAUGAAUGAUAUUUAGACAAUGUAAUUUACUUUUAAUUUUUUGCAAGAUCAAAUAUAAUGUCUCACGCAAAUAUGCAAGGAGAUAAUGGAGUACAUGGAGAGGAUGUACUACAAAAAGAAGAAAUAGACGAGGAAGAGAUAGAGGAUGCUAUGGAAGAAAAUAUGGAAGAAGCAAUGGAAGAAGAAUUUUAUGAAGCGAUCAGGUACUUAUUAAUGGCAAUUGAAACUGUGAUGCAUGUCUUAAACGAGCUUAUGAUUAUACUACAUGAUGAACAUAUUGGACGUCCAUUAAUGCGACNNNNNNNNNNNNNNNNNNNNNNNNNNNNNNNNNNNNNNNNNNNNNNNNNNNNNNNNNNNNNNNNNNNNNNNNNNNNNNNNNNNNNNNNNNNNNNNNNNNNAUCACAAUUUUCAAGUUUGCACCUCCAUUUUCUUAUAAAAUUCAAGCAGAGCUUGUACUAGCUUGUGUAGGACUCCACAAUUUUCUUCGUAAGGAGUGUCGUUCAGAUGAAUUUCCUAUUGAACUAGAUAACGAGUCUUCACUAUCUUCAUCGUUACCACUCAAUAAAGGAGAUAAUUUGGAACAAGUUUUUGAAACUCAAGAGCAACAACGAGAGAAUGCUAAUGAAUGGAGGACUAGUAUAGCUUCUGACAUGUGGAGAAACGUCGAUCAUAAUAAUAACAAUGGCCGGUAACGAGAGAAUGCUAAUGAAUGGAGGACUAGUAUGCUAAUGUUACUUGUUAGUGGUUUACUCACAUGUAUGAAGUUUUGCAACUUUUGAUCAUAUAGAUUUUCAUUGUCAUAUUAUUUUGUGAAAAACAGAGUUUGGUAUUCCUACUAAAAAGCGUACGCAUAUGCAUAAAGUAUAUAUAGCUCAAUGAAAAUUGAGCUUAAUUUUUGUAUUGCGUCUGUAGUUUCUAAAGUUUUAUUGGUAUCCGAGUAUCCAAAUAUAUUAUGAAAUGAGUAGAAUAAUAUGAACGCCUUCAACAUAUAUAAAAUCUCAUGCCACAAUAAUAUAAUGAGAUUUACUCUAAUUCAUGAAAAAAGAGAGAGAUGUUGUACACAUGGGCUAAUUAACAAUUAAUAUAAGUUGCAAGAUAUAUUAGAAGUAUACAAAAGUCUAUCACAGUCUUGAUAAAAAGUUUAUAAAAGUCUGUUACUUAUUUCAUAGUCUAUAAAAGUCAUUUUAAAAGAGUCUUUAAAAUCUUUGAAAGUCAUUAAAAUCCCACAAAUUCUACAAAAGUAUCACUUAAAAAGUCUUUAAAAAUCCUAAUUGAAUACACCCCCCUUAAAGACGAGGUGCAGUCGAGUAUAACCUCUUCCUAGUGAAGAAAGAGAAAUUCCAAAUUUUAAAAAAUUAAUUUCUUAGAGUAGCGAAAAAUAAAUUUCGCCAACCCAAGACUUGAUCAAAAUUGAAGAAAUAUAGUUACAAAAAUGAGGAAGAAAUGAUACUUCUAUUAUAAAGAAAAUUAGAGUUCCAAGCCUACAACAUUGAGGACAAGCUUGCAAUGGUGAUUGGAAAAUAUCCUAGUUGGAGUUGGCCUUCAGUAUUUGGGGAUGAAUAUUAUCAAUUUCUAGCUGGUAGAGGAAGGAAAGAAGCUUCAUGGGAAAACAAGAUGUUGGUGAAAAGGUGGAAUGAAUUUUCUAGAUGGUGGUGGAAGGCUCAAGAAGAGACUACAAAGUACAAGGAUGUAUUAGGCAGAGGAAUUUCACAAAACAAAAAUCCUCACUAGUCACUACAUCCCUCAAAAAUAAAAAUACUUGAAACAAAGAAAUAAUUUUAAAUGUUUAUUUUAAAAAUUAACAUUCCCUUUAAAGCGAACUUUGGGUGACUAGUCCAAGCUCAACAUUUGGAUCUCCAUGUAUUCUUCUUCACUUUGUACACCCAUUUGCAUGUAAUCGAGUUCACAUCCUUGGGAUUUGACACAAGAUCCCAAGUUUAAUUACUUAUAACUGUUUCUCGCUCUUCAUCCUUGGCUUUCUCUCUUUCAUGAAUACUUUUUGGUUCAUCAAAAGAAGAGGGCUCAUUUGCAUGAAUAAGACCAGCACUAAGAUGAUGACAAGUGUUUAUUAAGUUGCCAUCGGCUUAAUUCCUUGCCUGGUAUUCUCUGUGUUCCUUUUCAUGAGAAAUGCACUCGCUCCCCUUGUCACUAAUAGUAAUGCUAAUUAUCUAGAUGAGUAGGAGCAAAAGAAGUUAUCGCAAGUUCACGACCAUUUUUUCGCUACAAGAAGCUUGUGAAGGAGCAUCAAUACCACCAAGGACUACACACUACUGCAGAGGAAAUUUCAUUUUUCUUUAUAAAAAAAACACCUCAAAAAUCUUUAUAUUUUAUAUUUGUGAGAUUCUGGGUCCAUGAAUUUCCACCAUUUCCUUCUUUCAACAUAUCUGAUGAAGAUGCCUUUUUUGCCUUAGCAUCCAAUUUGUACCUUUAUGAAUAUGGAACGGCAAACCACACCAAAUACCUUACAAGCUAUGAAGCACUAACUAGGACACAGGACAUGGACAUGGACACAACACAAUACGCGACACGACAUUUUUCAAAAAAACAGGACUCGAUACAUCGGGGACACGUUUAAUUUUUUUUUUUGGUAUUUUUAAUAAUAUAAAUGAAUUUUUUACAAUAAAUAAAUUUAAUUGUUAAAACUUAACAAAUUUAUAACAUACCCAUUUUAGGCAGCCCACAUGGUCCAUAUACAAAUUUAUAACAUAUGCAACCCACACCAUAUGGUCAACUCAAAGGUACCGACUUGAAGGAAUUAGGUUUAAAAUGUACCAAUUGCAUAUGGGUACCCUUGAUUAACUUUUAUCUUUCAAUUUAAGUACUGGAAUUUGUAUUUUUUUUUUAAAAAAAUUUUACCCUAUGAGUGUCCCUUACGUGUCUAAGGCAUGUCCCUUGCGUGUCUAAGGCAUGUCCAAGGCGAGUUAGGACAUGUCUGAGUUUUAAAAAAGAAAAAGAAAAAAGUGUAGCUCACGAACACAUGUCGGGUGCGUGUCAAAGUGAAUUCAUGUUUGACACGUGUCCAACACGAAUUCGUGGGCAUCCAGGACGUGUAUGUGCUUCCUAGCUUACAAGUCUUUGACACUAGGCUUCUCCGAAUGCUGAUCUCAUAUGGGGAUUUCAUAUUAAUCGGUCUAAGUAAAACCUUAUUAAUCACAAAACCCUCACAAGCUAUACCCUCCCGCCCAUAAGGUCUUGGGUAAAUCUUUUGUGUACAACCAACUUUUCCAUAUCUCUAAAAUGUAUCAAUUUUCCUAUCAGCCACGCCAUUCUAUCUAGAAGUGUCGGCACAACUGACCUUCGUCUGGAGGCCAUGUUUUGAGUAAGAGAUUGAACUCUCAAGAAGCAAAUUAUCCCCCAUUAUCGGUCCUCAAACGCUUCAUUUUCUAUCAAACUCACCAAUAAUUUUCUCUUUGAAUUCCAUGAACCAUGAAAAUAUAUAUCAACUUUCCUUCACAUAAUACACUAGUAAACUGUGUUAAAUCAUCAACAAAAAUUAACACAGCGGAUCCCCAAAAAAUAGGUGUACCAAGACCCAUCACAUAUUCACAUCACUAUGAAUAAGCUCCAAUGUGCUUCAUAUCAUGUACAAGAUCUAUCAAAUGGGACGGGAUGUGUCUUAACAUAUUCACAAUCCUCAUAUUUCUCCACUACCAAAAGUAGAAAUAUAAGGCAAAAUAUCAACUAAUUUUUUAUUCAAUAUCACUUUCAAGUUAUCCAUAUCUAGAUGCCACGAUCUAGCUUGCAAAAGAAAAGCAUUAUCAUUUAUACUCUUUUCAUCAAAAAUAGAGGUUGAGGACACAAAAAAAUCUUUAAUUCUAUUACCGGUGUAGAUGACAUCCCUUUCAACCUUAAAAACAUUUCAGAUAAUCUUCACAUCUUUAGGCCUGAACAAGACACAGUGCUUUGAUCCUAGUGCAUUAGCUAAUGUUAGAGAUUCUUUUUUCAUUCCGAGUACAUGAAACACUCUUUUUAAGAAUCACCUUUGCAUUUGAACACAACAAUGUCAUCUUUAUCCACUGAAUAAACGAUAUUAUCCGCAAUGAUAAAAGCACUAGUACCAUCAUAAUGGCAGACUAGAAAACUAGUGUCAUCUCUGGUAGAAUGAUGACCGCAAUUGGAGUCCACAAUCCAAUCCUUUUUUAAGUUUAUGGUGGCACAAGCAUCAAUUUAGGCUGUCAACGCCGUAAAGCAACUACCUCAAUUUUUUUUGGUAAAAAAAUAUUGUUAUAAGAUAAAAGAUGAAGUACAAAAAGGGAGGACAAGGGCUCUUACAAAAAUAGUACAAGGAAAAUAAAUAAAAGCUAAUAAAGCACUGCCUAACAAUCUCAAUGUACCUCUAAAAUAGCACACUGAAAGCUAAUUAGAAAGCGGCUACUCCAAUUUUCUUCGCUCGUCAUCUUUGUGUGAUACAUUACAACCUUUCAACUUUACUCAGCAUUUUUUUCGUAUGUCCCAAUUGUAUGUCCCAAUUUUAUGCCACCGUAUGAUAACUAGUUUUGCUACUUGAUGACUUUCCGUCCCCAUCUUUUCAUCUCCUUCUCUUUCUCAUCUUUAUAAUUUUUAAAAUAUUUUUCUUCUUUUUAAAGAACAAGGCAACACCUUCUCUUGAAGAAAAAGAAACAUCUGCCAUUUGUUGAGCUAGACAAUCUCGAGAACAAAAAAGAUUUUCAAACUCAACCAACAAUGGCUCAAGGCCACCCUUGAAUAGAAUUGGCAAAAGGAAUGUACUCCUUUUUCAACCUACAAAUACUAUACAACUUCAUCCGAGCUUUUGAAAUAGGUUCCUUCGGAUCAAGAUAAUAAACCUUGAAAGAACGAUCUUAAAUUUUCCAACAAAAUUAAGAAAAAGAGAGAUCACGUCGAGUAGUAUUCACCAACUCAUUUUCCAAAAUUGUAACCUCACAACAUUCUUCUUGCUAUACAUCAGUCCUGUGACUCCUGUCCCAAAAGGAGGUUUCUUGUUUUCUUACUUUAUUACAGCUCACAUAAAAUAAGAACACCAUCAUUUAGUUAUUUGUGGAUGAUUACAUUCCAUGGUUAGUGUCAACAGAAUUGAUUCUGCCAUUCACAAUAGGGUAAUAAUGUUCCUCAUAAGCUAUCCUUGCUAAAUGGUAAAGCAGCUAUGAGCACUAAUCCUAGUGCUACAUUCCUAAAUCAUUACUAUACACAGAUCAAACCAUUUGAAUUUUUGAUAAAUCAGUAAAUAAUUACUUAUUACAGAUAGUGUUGGGUAUAACAUAAAUCCUUAUUGGAUUUGGAUUUAGGUAUUACCUAGAAUCCAUUUUGGUUUAGGAAAGUUAUCUUCCUAGUUAGACUCAAUUUAGUAUUCCUUAUCCUAUUUGGUUAUGGAAUUUUCCUACGACGUAUAAAUAUAGGUGCUAGGUUUUUGGAGAAGAGACAUUCAGAAGUAUUCUAAUAAUUCUCAUAGUUCUCUCUUUAUUUUGUACUCUUCAGAUAUUUAUUUAGUGAAUUUUUUUUUCUUCUCAGUGAUUUUUUCCCGAUUUAGGUUUUUACGUAAAACCUUAUGUUAUUGUCUUUAUCUUUCUGCAUUGAUUUAUUGUGUUUGUCAUAACAAACUGGUAUCAAGAGUCUGGUUAUUAUUGAUCCAUACUAUGGCGUUGAGUUCGACUUGAUCAACAAAAUUUAAUAUUAACAAAUUCGAUGGGAAUAUUAGUUUCAGUCCUUGGCAGGUUCGGAUGAAAGUUGUUCUUACUCAGCAAGGCUUGGAGAAAGCCAUUGUAGGGAAGCCAGUGAAGCCUGUAGAUAUGUCUAAUUGAGAGACGAGAAAAGCUAGCGAGAUGUUUGAGUCAGAAUGGGAAACUAUGAAUGAUAAAACACUUUCGACAAUUCAAUUGUGCCUUUCAAAUGAUGUAUUGCAGGACGUGUUAGCGAGAACUACAGUUGCUGAUUUGUUGAAGAAAUUAUUGUCUCUUUAUUUAACGAAGUCCAUCAACGAUAGAUUGGGACUUAACCAACGUCUUUACACCUUGCUUAUGUCAAAAGGUACUCAAAUCAAAUCUCAUAUCCCUGAGUUUAAUUCAAUUGUAACCGAGUUACAGAAUAUUAAUGUUAAGAUUGAUGAUGAAGAUCAAGCCCUAUUGUUGUUAGUCUCAUUACCUCCUUCAUAUAAACACUUUAGAGACAACUAUGAUCUAUGGUAGAGGCACUAUCUCAAUAGAGGAUGUUAAGACGGAUCUUAUGAGUAAACAAAAAUUAGAUUCUGAGAUGAUUUUUGGGAAAAGCGAUGCCAGAGGAAGGUCAAUUGAGAGAAGUUCAAAAAGUGGCAGUACACACAAAUCAAAAUCUCAAAAUAAGAAUUUCAGCUGUAAUUACUGUCAUGCAAAGGGUCAUAUAAAGCGUAAUUGUCCGAAGUUGAAAAAUAAAGCUUAGAGAUGAGACAAUCAUGGUCAGAUUAAUAGUUGGACAGAAUGUGCAUAAUCAGCAGAAUCAGGGGCAAUAAGUCAUCUCGGGCUAGUGUUUCUGAGGAUAGUGAUGAUCUUAAUUUAUGCAGUGACUGAAUUUUGGAUUCUGGGUGUUCUUAUCAUGUGUCUUACUCGUGUUUGGUUCUCCACAUAUUAUCCGUUUGAUGGUGGAAUUGUUUUGAUAGGAAAUAAUUCUAUGUAAAGUAAUUGGCAUUGGUACAAUUAAAAUUAAGAUGGAUGAUAGCAUAAUCGGGACAUUGUCAGAUGUUAGACAUGUUCCGGGUUUGAAGAAGAAUCACAUAUCUUUGGUUACACUAGAUGAAACAGGUGUAAGUACACGGCUGAAGGUGGAGUUAUGAAGAUUUGUGUUGAUGAAAGGAAUCAAGGUCGACACUUUAUAUAAGUUGGAGGGUUCUACAACUACAGAUUCGGAUGUAAUUUGUUCUUCAGUUACUGUUGAUGACACCAUCAGGUUGUCGCAUAUGAUGUUGGACCAUAUGAGUGAAAAAAGAGCAUGGAUGCUUCGAGUAGGAAAGAUCUUUUGUUUGGACAAAAAAUAGGAAAAUUAGACUUAUAUGAGCAUUGUAUCUUGGGGAAGCAAAAACGAGUUAGUUUCAAGACAGAAGUUCAUAAAACAAAGGGGAUUUUGGACUAUAUUCAUUCAGACCUUUGGGGCCCUUCACGGGUUCCUUCCAAAGGUAGCGGUGCACAUUAUUUGUUAACCUUUAUUGAUGAUUAUUCGAAGAAGGUUUGGGUCUACUUCUUGAAACAUAAGAAUGACGUUUAUGUGACUUUCAAAUAGUGGAAGACUUUGGUUGAGAAGCAGACAACAAAACAGAUUAAGAGGUUCAGAUCAGAUAAUGGUCUUGAGUUUUGUGAGACUGAGUUCAAUGAGUUCUGCAAGAAUGAAGGAAUUGUUAGGCAUCGUACAGUUGUGAAGACACUGCAGCAAAAUGGAGUUGCAGAACGGAUGAACAGAACCUUGAUAAAGGUCAGGUGCAUGUUGUUAAAUGCAGGUUUAGGCAAGGAAUUUUGGGCUGACGCAGGAACACAGCUUUUUUCUUGGUGAAUGAGAGAAAACUCGAACCUAGAGCCAAGAAAUGCAUCUUUCUUAGUUAUAGUUCUGGUGUGAAGGGUUAUAGACUUUGGUGUGUUGAUCAGAAGUCAGCAAAGGUCAUCAUUAGCAGAGAUGUUACUUUUGACGAGUCCGCUAUGCUUCAUAAGAACAAGGAAUCCUCUACUCCUUGUAUUGAUAAUUUUGAUAGUGUUGGUCAGAAGUGGAGCUUGAAGUAACUUCUCAGGUUCAGAAAUCACAGCAGAAUUCAGAUCAUAUGCCUACUACUACUACUACUACUACUACUACUACUACUGUUUUAGAUGAGAAUAUAGUUCCGGAGGAGGAAUAUGUGGACAAUCAGUAUAAUCUCACUAGAGACGGGGCAAAGAGGACAGUGCGACCACCACAGAGAUGGGUAUUCAAAUUAUGUUGCUUAUGCUUGUCAGUUGCCGAGGCAGUUGAGUACAGUGAACCACUGACUUAUAAAGAUGUUUUCUUAAAUGAUUCAGAAAAGUGGUUGUUUGCUAUGAAUGAGGAGAUAAAACUCUUCAGAAAAAUCAGACUUGGGAGCUUGUGAAAUCAACUAAAGGUAAGAAAAUUUCUGGUUGCAAAUGGAUAUUUAAGAAAAAGAAAGUCAUCCCAAGAGUUGAAGAUGCUAGGUACAAGGCUCGACUAAUAGCUAAGGAUUCAGUCAAGUCGAGGGAAUUGACUUCAAUGAUGUGUUUUCACCCGUUGUAAAGCACAACUCUAUUCGAGUAUUACUUGGUUUGGUUGCUAUGCAUGAUUUGGAGUUGGAACAACUCGAUGUGAAAACAACUUUCUUCAUGGUGAACUUGACGAAAAGAUUUAUAUAACCUUAGGGAUUUCAGAUUCAAGGAAAAAGAAAGACCACGUUUGUUUGUUGAAAAAAUCCUUAUAUGGUUUAAAGCAAUCUUCGAAGCAGUGGUAUAAACGAUUUCAUUCAUUUAUGGUUGGUAUUGAAUAUAGCAGGAGUCAAUAUGAUAGUUGUGUGUACUUUAGAAAAUUUUAGGAUGACUCAUUUAUCUAUUUGUUGCUUUAUGUUGAUGAUAUGUUGAUUGUAGCAAAAGAUAGUUCCGAGAUUGGUAAAUUGAAACCACAGUUGAGCACUGAAUUUGAGAUGAAAGAUUUAAGGGCUGCUAAGAAGAUUUUUGGAAUGGAGAUUCAACGAGAUUGCGGAAUUAAAAAAUUGUACUUAUCCCAGAAAGACUACAUCGCGAAGGUGCUAGAUCAUUUUGGUAUGAAAGAUGUCAAACUAGUAAGUACUCCUCUUGCUUACUUGCUGGUCACUUCAAAUUAUCAGCAAAAUUAUCUUCUCAGACAGAUGAGGAGGUUAGGUAUAUGUCAAGUGUUCCCUACUCAGUGCAGUUGGUAGCCUCAUGUACGCUAUGAUUUGUACUUGUCCAGAUAUUUCACGUCAUUAGUGUGGUAAGGUAAAAUUCAUUGGGAAACCGUGAAGUAGAUUUUAAGAUACGUACAAGGUACCUCCGAUGUUAGUUUAGAGUUUGGAAGGAAUGACGAUAUCCUUAUAGGGUAUGUUGAUUCAGACUAUGUUGGUGAUCUUGAUAGGAGGAGAUCGUUAACUGGUUAUAUAUUUACCCUUGGAGAUUGUGCAAUUAGUUGGAGAGUUACUUUACAGCAUACGGUUACUCUCUCUACUACAGAGGCAGAGUAUAUGGCUAUUACAAAGGCUGUCAAGGAAGUUAUUUGGUUGCAAGGCUUGUUUGGAGAGAUCAACAUGGAUCAUGGAGUUACUGUUGUCCAUUGUAAUAGUCAGAGUGAUAUACACUUGACCAAGGAUCAGAUAUAUCAUGAGAGGACGAAGCAUAUUGAUGUCAGGUAUCAUUUUGAAAAAGACAUUGUUGAAGAUAGUGACAUUAAGAUAUUGAAGAUUGGUAUUGCAGACAAUCCAGCUGACAUGUUAACGAAGUCGUUACCACGUACGAAGUUCAAACAUUGCUUGGAUUUGGUUAGUGUUCGAUGCACUUAAGUUGUGCAUUUGAGAAGAGGAGAAAGUUUACUGUUUGUGCUAUAUUUGGAAGAUUCAAGUCAAGGUGGAGAUUUGUUGGGUAUGACAUGAAUCCUGGAUUUGGAUUUAGGUAUUACCCAGAAUUUGUUUUGGUUUAGGAAAGUUAUCUUUCCUAAUUAUACUUAAUUUAGUAUUUCUUAUCCUAUUUGGUUAUGAAAUUUUCAUAUGUCCUAUAAAUAUAGGUGUUAGGAUUUUGGAGAAGAGACAUUCAGAAGUAUUCUAAUAAUUCUCAUAGUUCUCUCUUUAGUACUCUUCAAAUAUUUAUUUAGUGGAUUUCUUCUACCUUCUCCGUGGAUUUUUCCCGAUUUGGCCUUCUACGUAAAACCUUGUGUUAUUGUCUUUAUCUUUCUGCGUUGAUUUAUUGUAUUUGUCAUAACAAAUAGUGAGUACCAAUAUAUGGAUGCUAAUUAAAUUAAUAAAAAAAGGCCAAAACAAUCUUCAGCAUUGAAAAUAAAAGUUACAAGCAGCCCAUUUCAGCUGUUUCAAAUGGUUUACAAAAUGCAGCUAAUGUCAAUAAGUUACUGGCAGCACAUUUCAUCACUUUCUUCUUCAUAUUGCCAAUGCUAUUCACCAGUCCCAUCCCAAAAGAGGGUUUCUCGAAUUCUUACUUUAUUACAGCUCACAAAAACCUAGAACACCCACAUUUAUUUAUUUUUUGAAAAGACACCCACAUUUAGUUAUUUGCGGAUUACAUGCCAUGGUUAGUGUCAACAGAAUCGAUUCUACCAUUCACAAUAGGGUAAUAACGUUCCUCAUAUUGCUAAAUGUUCAAACAGCUAUGAGCACUAUCCUAGUGAUUCGUUCCUAAAUCAUUAUUAUACACAGCUCAAACCAUUUGAAUUUUCUGAUAAAACAGAAAAUAAUUAACCACUUCUUAUUAUUAGAGAUACCAAUACAGUAAUGCUAAUUAAAUUGCCAAGAAAAAAGGCCAAAACAAUUUUCAGCUGUUUCCAGUGGUUUACAAAAUGCAGAUAAUGCCAAGAAAUGAUAUCUAGCAGCCAACGCCAAGAGAUGACAUAUAGCAUAGACAUCUUUACCGAACAAGGGAAACAAGAAAAUGAUUUUUUUUUAUUUUUUUCAUAUUAGAUAUUAUAAUGAGCACGAGUAUGAAUAGCUAAAUGCAUAUAUAAACAUAGAUAUUAAGAACAAUCAGCUAAAGUAUAUAAUACCAAUUACCAAUCAACAUGGUAAGAAGAAUGGAAUACUAGUAAGUAAGCAAGCACUAACUAGCUGGGCCUCCAAGCUGAGUAACGGCGUCAACGAAACGGUCGUGAAGGUCGUUAGUCCAACGGAGGCGAGGUUUAGGAUCGGAAGUGAGGACAAGUCCCAGGUGGUUGGAAUCAACAAUUCCAUUUCCCUCUUCAUCCACAAUACCAAUAUCUUCUUCCCCAAAUCCAAUUGGUUGUAUCAAUCUUGAAAACAUCUCUUCUACUUUUUGUGAUGUAGAAAACUCCCAACCCAAAGGAAGGAAGGAAGAGAUAUGGAAGCUUUUGUAUAUUUCUAUCGAUAUCCGGAAAGAUAUAUUAUAAUUAUUGGGUGGAUGGCAGGCAGAUAAAAGGAAGAAGAUGAUGAUGAUGGUGUUUGUAUCUGUACCCUAACUCGAUGAUGAAGGAAGGAAAUGAAGACAAAAGAACAAAGGUCUUUGUUUACCUUUUGGAUUUACCAGCAAAUCUAAUCCACUCUACUGGAUGUCAAACCAAAUGGUUGGUUUGUUAGUUUUUUACUUUUCAAUCAUAAUUUGUUCAACCUUAUUUAUUUAAAACUAGUAAUUGCCUCCUUAUUUGUCCGUUUCAACAAUCCCACCACUAUUUUCGGCUCAAAUCAAUUAAAAUAAAUUUGAACCGUCUUUGUGUUUUUCCGCCCAAAUCAAUUAGAAUGAAUCUGAACCGUUUCAGUGUUUUUCGGCCUAAAUUCAAAAUGAGUUCUAUCUUAUUAAUGACUUAUAAAUUAUUUUUUGAUAAAUAAAAAAUUAUUAUUUUUCAAAAAUAAUUUAUAAGUUCAAAAAAUAAUAACUAAAUUUGAAUUUAUAAGAAUUCUAUUAUGUAUAACAUGACUCACUUUGGAUUUGGAAUUAAGCAACCAUAUGGCUUCCAACAAUGAGCUGAUCACGUCAUGACCACCAAGUUCCUUUUCCAAUUUCAAUUCAUAUAUCACCAUGGAACACAUGCAGCAUCAGUAAAGGUUGAGCAACUUUUUUAUCGGUCAGCAUUAAAGAAGGGCUUGACUGAGCUAGUGAGAACAUGCCAGAAGAGCAUAGCUGAGCAUGUUCAAACUCUUGGACUCCUGCAUGCAUGCAUCCCCCCAUUCCUGUUCCAAGCAGGGCCGGUCCUAAGAAUUUGGAGGCCCUGUGCGGCUGUGCUAGAAAAAAAUUGGGGUCCUCUCACAUAUAAAAAUAUUAUUUUUUUAAAAAAAUUCAUCAUUAAUUAAAAUAAUAAAUGUUAACGUUUUCAAUAUUUUAUAUAAAGUAUAUUUGACCUAUAGGUUAUAUACAUAUACACAAAAAAAAUUUCGGGGGCCCCCAAUUUGGGGGCCUUGUGCGGUCACUCCUUCUGCACCUCUUCAAGGCCGGCCCUGGUUCCAACUUCCAAGCUAAUUAAGCAUAGGAAAUCAGAAGAACCUUGGACUUUGUGGAAGGUCUAGUCUACCAAGGCUCUAUAUGGACUUGAUCCUCCAGUCACCAAGGGAGGUAGGUACCAGCACUAAUCCUCUAGUGCAUGAAUUUGUCAAGGAAAGGGAGGCAAUCCAGCAAUUACUUAAAAGGAAACCCUGCAAAAAUCACAACAAAUGAUAAGCUGUAAUGCAGACAAGAAUACAACAGAAAAGGAAUUCUAGGAGGGAGAUGAAGUAUAUAUGUGUGUGUGUAUAUAUAUAUUAUGAGCCUUACAAAAUUCUAACGGAUUGGAAAGGUAGAUUACAAACUGCACCUUUCUCAAAAUGCCAAAAUACAUUAUGUUUUUCAUGUUUUCUAGUUGAAAAAGAAAAUAGGGAAACUAAGUGUUGGGCCAUGAUACUUUCACUAUUGGGCUCCUCCCUUAUGUUAUUCACUAUGCCUAAAAUAUAUUGGGCCUCUCAUUUGGACCGGCCCAUUAGGUAAAUUAUGUUUUAACCCAUCAUUUACCGGCCAUCAUUACAAAAGAUAACAGUUGACUGUUAUCUCUGCGGUGCAUUAAUGAGGAUGGGACUCAGAUGACCGGCGGUGGCAAACAGUGACAGCAUGUAGUGGGUGAGUUGCACACUUUCGGCUGAAAUGACUGGAGUGGGGGGCUGUGUCAGACGGUAGUGGGUGGCACGGUAAAUCGGGUUUGGAGUGCAUAUGGGGCAACGAUCACACAAGGGAAGAAGGUAACAACAUUCAACCUAACUAUUAUCUCUCUCAAUACACUAGACAUAUUAUUCCUCUAUUGUUAACCUUGUGAUCGCCGAUACUGACUCUCACGCCAGAGCUAUCCCCUGACGGUCAAGCCGUCAAGCUUUUGGUGUUGACUUGUUGAACUGUGCAGGAUAUCGGACACAUCUUGGUGAUUGGGACGUGAGGAAAGAUCUUGGCGUUAACACUAAGAUUGUUCAUACAACUCUUCCAAAAACUACCAAAGAUGGGGGAGCUGUGUUGAAAGUAAUUGACUUGUCUUUAAUUAAUUUUAGUUGGUAGUAGUUGGGGGAAUGACAUUCAUAAUGACCAUUAGUUGUUAGUUGUUAGUAAAGAGAGAAAGGCUUGUAUUCUUAAAUAUUUCAUAGUAAAAUUUUAAUAUCUCUUCCCGUGGUUUUUUCCCAGUUGGGGGUUUCCACGUAAAAUUCUUAUGUCAUUAUUUUGUCUCAUAUAGAAAGUGUGUUUAUCUUAGUGUUUUGUGUGCUUGAUUUCCCAACAAUUGGUAUCAGAGAUAUUGGUCACGUCGUUGGUAUCUAGGAAAGUGGUUCAAAAGUCAGUGUCUUUAAAAAAGGUGGUUACUUAAUUAGUCACUGUUGCAAAAGCAUGUACGGAGAGACUCUCACCCGACUUAUACUUACCCGACCAACUAGUACGAUCCGUUUAUUGAGAAAACUCGCAGGUCAAAGUAUAAAGAUGACAAACACAAGUAUGAUGUACAGAACCAUAUGAUGGAAAGUCAAAUUUCAGUAUUUGGAAGAGUACGGUCAAAGAUGUAUUGGUUCAACAGGGAUUGACGAAGGCACUAGAAGGGAAUGAGAAAAAACCAGCGAAUAUGACAUAGAAAAAUGGACAGAACUUGAAGCAAAGGCUGUAGCAACGAUCAAAUUCAGUUUGGCACCACAUCAAAUAUAAGGUUUUGACAGAAACCUCUCCAAAGAUCUUCCACUACAAGUCGAAGUCUCUGUCAAACCGGUUAUAUUUGAAGAAAGAAUUGUACCAGCUUCGGAUGGAAGAAGGGUCAAAUUUUGACCAAUCAUAUUAAUAAGUUUAAUAGAUUGGUGACCCAACUGACCAGUAUAAAUGUGAAGUUGGACGAAGAAGAUGAAACCUUAUUGCUUAUUGUCUCUCUACCAGACUCAUACUCAACUCUCCAAACUACUCUCCUUAAUUGUAGGGAAGGUGAUAAAUAUAAAAUGUUUGAUUAUUUUGAUUUCUUCAUGCUUAGAUUUGUUGCAUAUUUUCUGUUAUAUUAGUUUUUUAAGAUGUUUAUUGAUUUCAAGAAGAAUUUGAUAUGAUUUUACAAAAAUGGAGUUUAAUAAUGCCAGUUUUUAGUUGUUUUGCAGAAUUGCUCUUUGUAUGGGUAGACUUGUGAGUUGACUUCUGGAUUACGAGUCAAAGAAGGAUUUGUGACAUUAGAGCUUAAAGAUGCAAUUCCUAACAUGAUUUGGAGAUAUAAUUACACAUUAAAAAGGAAGUUGAAUCUGAGUUAAAAGAUGGGGAAUAUCUCACAUAGGAAUCAAAUGUCACAGAUCCCCAUCUUAGUUGUUAAAAUAUUUGGUAGCUGUCAUUUACACUCCAAGAAUUAAAAACUUUCUUUCACUCUAGGAAUUCAGAAUUUAGAACAGUAUAGCAAUAAGCAAGGGUCAAUCCCACAAAGAAUAAUGUUAUUCUAAUGUUUCUAACUAAAAACAGAAAGUAAAAGGUUGGGGUUUGAAAUCAAUUAACUAAUUUUAACAUAACAAAAUUAAAAUAAUAAGAUUAACAGGUUAAUAAACAAAUUCAGUUUUUCCAGUUCAGUAUCCCAUGUUCACAUAAAAUAGAUUAAUUAAGCAUAACAAUAGCUAUCAUCCAAUUAAACUAAUAGUCCUAGAUAACAACAAGCUCUGUUACCCGAAAUUCCUUUUAGAUUAUCACUUAAUAAAACAAGCUCUUCAUAAGAUUUUAACCAUUAUACAACCUAGAAUAAGCUCUCUAGAUUUAAUAUAACAACAACAUUAAUUGUUGAAAGUAAUUGACUUGUCUUUAAUAACUUUUGGUUGGUAGUAGUUGGGGGAAUGACAUUCAUAAUGACCAUUGGUUGUUUGUGGUUGGGGAAUGACAUUCAAGACCAUUUUUUCCUAUAAAAGGGAGUUUUGGCUCCUCAUUUUUACACACCAACUUUAGAGAGCAAGAGAGGUAGAGAGAGUAUUGGAUCUUGGGUAUCCAAAUGAGGCGUCAAUAGAGGGUCCGACCCAUUUGGGUUAAUUAACAGUCUUCCCAGUUGACAAGGUCAAAUAUAUAUAUAGCAUGCGUAAUAAAAUCCUUCAGAGAGAGAGAGCUUAAGUUUGAGUAUUAGUAAGGUAGAGAGAGAAAUUAAACAGUGAGUUUAUUUUCUCACAUAUAGUAAGACUUGUAUUAUUAAAUAUUUUGAAUUUCUGAGAUCUCUUCCUCUGAUUUUUUCCCAGUUAUAUUUUUACGUAAAAUUCUUUUGUCAUUAUUUUAUCUUAUACAAAAAGUGUGUAUUAUUUUGUGUGCUUGAUUUCUCAACUAGCUGAAACCAAGCAGUACCCUUGACUGUGCUUGAAGGAGGUUGGUUAGAAAGGAAAUAGACCAGCCACCAUGGUAUUAGUCCAAUGGUCUCGUAGUAUAACUAAAUAUGCUACCUAGAAGAGUGGGGCUAGAUAAGCUAACAUUAGCCAUAUUUUGAUCCUUAGGGACAAGGACCAUUUCAAGCAACGGGUGUCAAGAGGAAAAUACAGACAGAGGAGCAGGGGAAUAACAACAUAACCAAUUUGAGGCUUAUAGCCGUUGGGAGCAGGGGACCAAACAAAGUCGUUUCAUUCCAAGUUAUUUUUCUGUUUUAAUUUUAAUCAUUAACACGUGUCUUUUUGUGAGUGGGAGAAGUUGUUAGGAAUCUGACAGAAAUUUGUUAGAUCUUGGUGCAUAUAAUGCAGCCAUUAUGAUGUAAAAAGGUUUCUGAAAAUCUAUGAAAAUUUUCCGAGAGUGGGUUUUAGGUUUGUGAGGAAGAGAUAGUUUUUGGAGUUUUUAUAUUCCGUGUAAAAUAAUUGUAAUAUUAGACGGAUGGCAGAAAGUUGUAUAGUGGAGAUUAUAAUAUAUUGAAAUGUGUUGCGGAGUACGUUUUUGAGAACCGAACCACAUUAAAUAUUGUUGUGUCUAUGUGUCUUUAUUUUCUUACUAGCAACAGUCCCGUGCCUCCGGCACUAUGAACGGUGGGAUUUAUCUCAAACUUUGGACGGCCCAGAUGAUUUAUUAGGAUGAGCGGGAAAUUCAAAAUUAUUUGUAUUAUGUUAGAUAUAUUUGAUUUGCACGGACUUAAUUCCCAACAGUUCUCUAUCUCAUGAGUUCUUUGUAUAUAAUUAUCAUCCUGAAAGACUUGCAACCAAUUCGGAUUGUUAGGCUUGUAACUUUAAUGUUCACCUUGAAUUAGGAAGGAAGGAAGAACAAAAGAGAAAGGAGAAAAGGGGGUUGCUAUUUUGGUUGGACUAUUUAAAUGAAAAAUGAGAGUAGCAUAAGAAUCAAGCUUCCAUCAGACAUAUUUACCCUGUGUAAGUGAAAAGAGAUGGUCUUCUUACAAUUAAACAACUUUUUGGCUAGCUUGAAUUUUGUACUUGAAAGUACAUUGCAUUUCCAUUGAAGGGCACACAUGUGAUACCAAGCAUGACAGAAGGUAUAACUUCAGGAUACUUGCAAAUGCAUCAAGUGCUUCACUAGUACAAGAAUAUAUGAACAGAUUUUAAGUGCCCUUCAGCAUAGCUGCUUUUUGAGUAAGGUAUACAAGUGUAGCACUGCUAUAUAUGCUCAGGAAAUAAGCUACUCUAUAUUUAACUCGUUUCUUGCAUGUGCUACUUCACAGCCUAUACCCAUGCAGAUGCUUAGCCCAUCUUCUAGCCAUGUAUGGGUCAUGGUAAUCCCAACUACCAGCACUACUAGUCCGACCAUCUACACUAGCAACAGCUCCUACACCUUCGCUUCUCUCUCUCUUAUCCUCUAAGCCAACUAAAAUUUCCCCUGUUUGAAUGCAUUCAUCAACCCCGCCGUCAAUGUAGCUAUAAUCCACACAAACAUAUCCAGACUUGAUCAAAUUUAGAGGGAUUCUCCUUUCCUCGCCACCUCUUAGUUCACCGAGCCUUAUUAUCCUAGCAUCCUCCCCAAUCCUCAAUUUGACAUCUCUGAUAGCACCUCCGAGUACUCUGGCCAGGAACUCCUCAAAUUCAUGCAUGACAAACCCAUUCGAAGUGCCAAAGCCAUAUCCAACAUGAAACCGAUGGAUUGGGAUGGGAACUUCCAUGUCAAUGCCAUGAUAGGAUCUUGUUGGGCUGCCAGACAAAUGCAAAAUACACGACUCCAGGUUUUCGUGGGUACGAUCCCCGAGUAUCUUUACUCCUUUCUUGAGCCCUUCAAUGGGAUCUGCUUGCCCCAUAUAAAAGAGACGAUCAAUGACUUGCAGUGCAGUUCGUUUCCCAUAGGAUGUCAUGCACCUUAGCGGGAAGACACGAGCUGCAGCAGAAGAGUAGGCAACAAUGGCUAAACGGUCAAUGGGUCGCAUUGAGAAAACCACUAGAGCCAUGUACUGCUUCAUAAGCCUCAAGUGAGGCCCAUUGGGGCUUGCAACCAAGACCAAGUCAGUCGCUGGUUGAUGUGCUAAGUUUACACAGAGAUAAGCUCUACUGGUGGACACAUGUGGAAAGGGGUAUUGUUCAGUUGGGUCAAACUGAUGCGCUGCUGGUGGUGGUGAUGCUGCUAAUAAUGAUGAGGAACUGUUUGAGUGGGGUUUUGAUGAAAUUCCACAAAUCUGACAUACAUUGGGCUCGGUAAUCUGAUGCAAGCAUGAAUAAAAACCAGGGUGAGUGAGUGGUACAGAUAAAAGAGUCAGAUGAAGACGGGGAUGAUUAGAUGUGUGCUCAGGCUCAAUAGGGUCAUCAUCAUCAUAGCGAGCAGAGCGGAGGAAGGAGCGUCUAUGGACCCUGAAAGUGGCAAUGGAAUCAUCAAGGAUUUGGAGGAUGGGAUCCGUUUGAUUGCUACUAAGUGAAGAAGGUGCAAUUAGGUUGCGGGGUAGCUGGGUCCAAUGUGCACGACAGAUGGGGCAGGUGACACCACCAUGGCGGACAUUCGAGGAGAUGCAAGUGAAGUGGAACGCAUGAGAACACUGGGCUGUGAAUAUGGCCUGGCCUGGACUGGUGACUGAGCUGUAACUCAGGGGUUCAAGGCAUAUUGCACACAAGUUCUGCCACACAAGAAAAAGAAAAUGUAAGCCUCCAAAAAAUAAGCGAGAAAAACACACGUGUAUGCAACUUAGACGUUUUCAAGUGUAGAGGAGGAGAAUAACAUAUCGUGCAAUAAUGCACAAAAUCUCUUAUUUUAUCUUUCUAGCUCAUUUUCUUUUCAGAGACAUCUGAAGCUAACUGCUAACAUAACAAGCAGAGGGAUUAAGUAUAUUUUAGAACAGUUGGGAAUCAUGUUCAAAUGCUGAAGACUAUAGGAUAGACCAUGAUUUGCUGUACUUGAGGUAAAAUCAUCAGCUUGGGGCCUUUCGCCAUACUUAUUAAGUAAAUUGAAUCACAUCAAAUGGCUGGUUUCCAGAUGCUUGCCUAACAACUAAGUAUCACUUUCUCAGCAAUGAAGAUAGUUGUAUAUUUUAACAUAUUCUCCUCUGCUUCAACUUUUCCAUUCCCCAAAACCCGCUCACACACGGCCUUCAUAAGGGAAAAAGAGAAAAGGGAAAGUAAUUUUUAACCUUCUUGUCAUACAGAUGUGAUUUUACACAAACACAAUUUCUUUAAAUCAUUUUGAUGUAAUAAAAGGAACAGACAGUUAUCAAAUGACAGUAUCUUUUAAGUUUUCACACUAUCCAGAGGAAUGAAAUGGAGAUGAACCACUAACUUACAGAAUUUUAUGCAAAAUGUCACCAGGAACUAGUUACCGAAACUUCUGUAUAUUAAUUUCCCUUAGUUCAUACAUGGAAGGACUCACAAACUUGAUCAAAAAUGAGAAAUCUUAAUUUGAAAAAGUUACUUGAGUUACCAGAGAGGCAAGGACAUUCUUAUUAGUAAAAGAGGAGUAUAUUUCAUAAAAAAAAAGAUUUGAAAAAAAAAGAGACAAACUAAGAUUCCUAGCUUGCUAAUAAAGAAGAGAAUUGAAGUUUUAUUUUCUUAUAUAUAUAUAUAUUAAAGAGCAAUUAGGAUAACUUUAAAAUUAGAGUACAACUAGCUUAGAUUCAUAAUGAAAUUAUGUGUCGGUGGAAAUUCCAGUCAAUUAGAUGGUAAGUUGUUGAGUAAUGUGCAUGACCAAAUCUUCACAUUGGGAUGAUAAAGCCCUUUUAUAUAUUCAUGUAAAGAAAGAAAGAAAGAAAGAUACAGACAGUGUAAAGGUAAUUAAUACCUUAUUAGUAGAAGAAGUAUGAGUGGUGCCGGAAUCUGGGUGGGCUGUCAUUUCUGGAAUUGUAUCUGCAGAAUCUUCGUUCUUUGGAGAAGGAUAAUUAGUGGGUGAAGUAGGAUGUAUCUGCAGAAUUAAAUUAUAAAAAAAAAAUAAGAGGAAAAAUUAAAGAACACAGAAGCAGAAGUAUGAAAAAAAAGAUGAAUACAUGAGUACUAGAACUGCUUACAGUGGCAGCAAAGGGAUCGAAAUGGGUUUUUCUGGGAGAGAAGGAGCCACAACCGCAUGUUUGAAACAUUUUUCUUACUGCCCUCUUCAACUUGAGUUGGGUUGAAGAAGCUCCUCUUCCUUCUCCUCCCACCAUUAGUUCCCACCUCUAUCUGUCUCUCUGCGUGUGUCUGUCUGUCAGUAUGUUAUGUUUUAGGAGAAAAACAAAGAAACAAACAAACAUUUACUAAUUAUUCCUUCCUUCUAUCGGAGGAGGAGGAGGAGGAGGAGGAGAAAGAAGGAGGAGGACAAAAAGAAAAAGUAAAUUAUGUUUUUUAAAAAUAGUAAUUUUUGUGCGGAACAGCAAAUUUGUGCCAAGUCUGUCUGUUCCACCUGCCGUUUCUCAGCUGUGGGAGCGGGAUCCCCUUAUAUAUAUAUACAACCCGUCGGGAGGAGGAAGAAUAAAUGAGAGUGAAAGAUAGCAAAUUUUUAUUCUUUGAAGUUAAAAUGAUAUAUAAUGGAGGAUGAAAUUUAUCUCAAACUUUGACUGUUCUGAUUGUUUAUUAAGGUGAGCGGAAAAUUCAAAAUCAAUUGUGUUUUGUUAAUUAUACUAGCAACAGUCCCAUGCCUCCGGCACUAUGAACAGUUGGAUUUAUCUCAAACUUCGUACGGCUCAGAUGAUUUAUUAGGACGAGCGGGAAAUUCAAAAUUAUUUGUAUUUUGUUAUAUAAAUAUAUAGAGAGAGAGAGGAACAAGGAGGUGCAUAGUCGUGACACGAUCUACAAUCGUUUCGUGAAUUCACUCUACUAUCAUAGACCGUGUAAUUUUAAAAGUUACACGACUAUGUACCUCAAUUUUUACCAUAGAGAGAGAAUUGAUAUUUGUAUAAAUAAAUUUAAUAUUUUAAUAUUUUAUUUUUAUAUGAAUAAUAAGUGGGGUUCAGGAUAUUUUGUGGAAGUAAUACUUUUAUUUGUGAAAAUAUUAAUUUUCUAUUUAUAAAUUAUAACUAUAGUUAAGACGUUAAAAUGAACAAACAGUUCGGACUCGACUUAUAAUAAUAUAAAUAAGUCAAAUAUAAAAAAAUAUAACGUUAUUCUAUUACAAUUUCAUGUUACCGAUACAUUUCAAUUUAAAGUCUACAAAAUAGAUCAAGAGAUAAAUUUAUUUUCAGUCUAUGUAAUUUGACUGCUUUUGACUUUUUGUUGAAUGUUAGUAAUUGAAAGUGUGACUUUGCACCGUAAAAAAAGAGGUCUUACUCCUAAACUAUCUCCUCUGAUCUCAUUAUACCAUUAAACUUAUUUUUCUUUUUAUCCCAUUUUAAAAUGUAUCUCCGAUUUUAAAAUGACGAGAAUAAUAUUUUAACCAUAAUACUUUGAUGACAAAAAUUACUUAUAAAAUAAUGUGGCUGGUUAUAAUUGAUUACUAUUACUAGGAAGUGGUUAGUAUGAAGUUUAUUUUGAAGUAAGUUGGUCAAUUGACCAAUAGAAUACUGACACGCAGACGAUGUUGUAUUUGUAUCAAUAUUCUAUUGGUCAAUUGGCCAACUUAUCAAAAAAAUAACUUCAUGCUAACCGGAUCCUACACUCAUAUUUUAGUAGAGGACUUCAUAUUUAUUUGUUAGAUUAAUAUGUAAGAGUAAUAUAUAUAGUAAUAGGAUAGUUUAAAAAUAAAAAUAUUUUAUCUCCCUUCCCUCUUUCUAAACUCACAAAUAAAAAAAAAUAUAAUUAAAAUCUCUUCUUUCCAUUCUUAUCUAAAACUCAUAAACAAACAUACUCCCUCCGUCCCAGGAUAAAAGUCAUGAUUGAUUUUUUGCGCAUAUUAAGAAAGAGAAUAAAAUGACAAAAUUAUCCAUAUUUAAUUUCUCAUUUAAUUGCAUAGUUUUUUGCACAUUACUAGUGAUGCUCCAUAAAUAUGCAUAGAGAAUAGAAAUAUAACAAUUAAUAAUAAGGGUAUUAUAGGCAAAUUAUUGUAAAAAAAUUGAUCAUUUAAGGUAAGUAGACAUUUAACUUGGGACUACCUAAAAUAAUAAUAAAGACUUUUAUCCUGGAACGGAGGGAGUAAUAAAGAGUAAAUUAUAAUUUAUUCGCAUCCCUUUCCCUCCGUUCUCACAAACCCAGCAUAAGAGAUUAGUAAGGGAUUUAAAAUUUAGAUCAUUAUAUAUCCUUUUCACUUAAGACACAAUAUAUAAUACUCCCUCCGUCCCAUAGUUAUAGGCUGAUUUUUCAUUUUGAGAUGUCCCAAUAUAUAGGCUACUUACUAUUUAUAAAAUUUAGUUGGUUCAUUGUUUUACUUUUAUGCCCUUAUAAUAAAUAUUCAACUAUUACUCUUUUUUUGAAUAAACAACAUUCAAUGUCAUUAUUUUUAUCACCACAUUUAAUGUUGUUGUAUUCUCUUUGGUUAAAGUUCUAUGAUUAUGGACUUUAACACGUCAAUCAAUGAAGUUGAGAGUUCCAGUGUGAUAGGUAAAGAGUAAUUAACUUAUAUAUUCAUUAAUUCUAUAUUAAGGGGUAUAUGUGGAAAUUUAUGUUAAAAAUUGUCACUUAAACUGAUUUUCUUAAACUAUGUGCCAAAAGAAAUCAGCCUAUAACUAUGGGAUGAAGGGAGUAAUUAAUUAGUAGUUACUCCAUUCCAUGGUCACAUAUAUAUCAACAGCAUAUAUAUAUAUAUAUAUAUAGGGAAUAUGGAGGUACACAGUCGUGUAACUUUUAAAGUUACACGGUCUACGAUCGUAGAGUGAUUUCACUAUAUAAUCGUAGAGUAGUCCCCAUAUAGUAUAGUGAAUUCACUCUACGAUCGUAGAGUAGUCCACGAUCGUAGAGUGAAUUCACAAAUUGUGGAGUGACUGCUCUACGAUCGUAGAGUGAAAUCUCUCUACGAUCGUAGACCGUGUAACUUUAAAAAUUACACGGCUGUGUACCUCCAUUUUUACAUAUAUAUAUAUAUAUAUGCUCUGGGUGGCCUGCAUUAAUUGUUAUUUGUUGGUAUAAUUAAUAGAGUAAUACAUUGUCAGUGGUUCUUCUAUGAUUCCCAAGGACAAGCAAGCCACUAACAAACACACACAAGCAAACUAAUUAACUCGAGAAAAAAAGAAGGAAAUAAUUGAAGCAAGCAACGUAGGUAAGUAUAUAUGAAUGACCCACGCCACCCCACCCCGGCUGUUGAAUAAAUCACACACUUAGAUAUAUUAUUAUGUUGAAAAUAUCUCCAAUUAAUUUUUAAAAUUUAAUCUUAUAUUUCAAACUAAAAGAGUAGUAUAUAUAUAUAUAUAUAGCAUGGUAAAGUUAAAGAGAAAAAAACCGUUGUUAUAUAGGUAGAUUUGAAUUUGAAGUUUUGGGUUGGGACCAAAUGAACCAAUGAUUGCUUGCUUUUCUAUUUAUUUUGUAAACAUGAUUAAAAUGUUUAUGCAUGUUUACCAAGGAGGAGGGGAAUAAGUUUUAAGUUUCAGAACUACUACUACUAUUACUACUAGCUAAUAGUUAUUCUUUGAAGGUCAACUUUUUGGGUUUAGAAACCUAAAGAGUAGUAGUAGUAUUGCUAUGGUAAAAAAAAAUUAAAAAAUCUAUCUUGUGCUAUGGGGAAAAAGAAAAAAGGAAAAGAAAAAGGAAUAAAGACAUGGUUGCAACAAAAGUUCCAAAUUAAAUCUUUGGGCAAAGUUGGAAGAUGGACAGCCAAGCUUAAAGCACACUGUUGACAGCAUUAGGAUGGAAUAGCUGACCUCUUUUUUCUCUUCUUUUGACUGGCAUAUAAGGAUGGACGCAUAUAAAGUCCUGUUUCACCCCCACCCCCUCAAAAGAAGAAAAAGAAAAAGAGUUUUCUUGUGUCCACCUAACCUUCAAUAUUUUGCUACCCUUCAGUUCCCUCCUUAUCUAUGUUUUGGCUGUGCUGCCAUUCUCUACUUUGACCAAUUCAAACUAAGGUUCAUAUAUUGGUUGUGUUAGUUAGAAGCCUGCAGGUUUAUUUUCUUAUUAAAGUUUUUACUUAAUUCUUUUUGUAAUCUCUCCCUUUUCCCCCUUUAUCUUAAAUCAAGUUCCUCUUUAAGUUUGGGAUUUGUUCAGAAUCUUCUAACUAUAGUACCAGUGUUCUUUUCUUUCCUAACUAGGAUUAGCUAGUCAUUUCUUAAGUCUGGUCUGGACCACAAACAUAGCAGGUUUUGCCUGGUGGAUUCCAUUCAUUUAAAAGCAGCAGCAGCAGCACUUGCAUAGAGCACACCAUCUGCUCUAGUUACUUUUAAGCUCCUAAGUGCAACAAUCUGAAGAAAAGUAGGAUAAAUAAGCAAUUUGUGAUGGAGAUACGGAGUACUGCAAAUAUUAAUUCUGCACUACAACGCCGUGGUAGUGAUUUCUAUGUAAAACUUCUCAAGUUAUCUCCGGCCUUGAGACCAUAAAUCUACCGAGUAAACAACCAGUAUUCCAUGCACCCCAAAUUAAAAUAGUUGAACAAGUGAUGUAUAAACAUCUUCAAAUUCAAAAUCUGCACCCUUAAUUUGAAAUGACAUCACAGUUGUCAUGCAAAAAUUGUUCUAGGCAUAAGUGGUUCCGGUAUGAGAUUGUACACCUUUAUAAAACAUGAAACUGAUGCUUAAAAUCGGUUAUGAAACCUUUACAAUCUUUCUAAGCCUAGUCAAGCAGCUAAGCGGGCUUCCUCAUUAUCCGGGACAACUAUGUCAAGUCUCAUCAUUGGGUUGUACUUGCCAGGAACUCGAACGCCUGCCUGCAAACAAAGUUCCACAACAGCAGGGGCCUUUCCAUAAAACCUCUUGACCGCACUUGUCAAUGGAGGUCCUUUUGGAUCUCGAACAUGCCAUACAUAAUUUGGGGGGAACACUUCAUCCAAAGUUGCAUCCUGCCAACCGUGCUUCCCAUCUCUCCACUGGUGCUUGAAUUCCCCACAAAGCUUGACAUUAUGACCCCAGGGCCCCACAUGGACCUCUGAGCAAUACCCACAAGCUUUCACCGUGUACUUCCUCGCCAACUUCCUCAAACCCCGUUUCACUUGCUCAUAUGCUUGGAUGGUUUUCUGUGCAAUCAUAGGCACCUCUGAUUCUAAAGGAGGAGAGAAUCGUUCAUGAGCACGAUAUGUAUCAAGGUCCACCACUGAUACAGCUGAAUCUGUGGAGCAACGCCUCUCCGGAUUCUCAACGAAUCCUCCUCGAUCAAUCACUUUCUUUCCAAUCAUUCGGAUAGGUGUGGUCCUUCUUCGUGAUGGAUAUUCUGGUAAAUCAACACCGGCUUGGAUGCAUAGUUCUACAACAGCUGGAAUCCUCUCAUAGUCAAAACGAGUCUCAUGCGUAACGCGCCGGCCAAAAGGAUCAUAUAAAUGGUACGACUCAAUAGGAAGAAGUACAUCGUUAAUGGAACCCUUCACCCAUGAGUGGAAGCUUCUACGGUUCGCGCUGGUUGGACCAUGGCAAUCCUGAAUGUUGUGAGCAGUCUGGCCAACAUAAACUUCAGUGCAUUCGCUGCAGAAGAACUGCUUUAUAUUAUCUGCUAGAUAUAUUUAUGUGUAAUACAUAAAUAUAUAUACAUAUAUAUAUAUAUAUAUAUUAUACGUAAUUGAAUAUGUCAACACAGAAUUGAGCUGGACAAAUGCAGAUCUAAAAAAUACGAAAUAUAUUAUACGUAAUUGAAUAUGUCAACAGUUUACCUGCAAGCAUGGACAGGAAUAUAGAGCAAUAGCUGUGCAAGCCCUUGUAUUAAAAUUUUCCAAGCAUCUAGUACUUCAUAAGCAAUUGGAAUUAGAUCAGGGACAAGCAGUCCAUUUUUGGGAGGCUCAAGCGUCUUCUCCACUCCCAUUUGUGCAAGCUUUUUAUCCGCCCUACCAGCCUGUAGGAUCUUUUUCAGAGGGACUGGAUAGGGUUUCUUCUUUUUCUGGGGAAUUAUGAGGGGAAGAUCCACAUUUUGCGGAUACACCUCCCUUUUCCUAGAUUGAGAAGGUCUCUGGUCAGCACAAAGAAAGGCUCCUGAUAUCAUUCGCCCAUUGAGAAAUUUUUCAAGCCCAAACUGCAACACCAACAUUUUAAUUUGCUUUAAAACAUAAGAGCACAUUAACACGCUAAACAGAAUAGAAGCAUAAUGUGUUGUAGCCCACAGAACGAAAACAAACUUUUUUAUCUUUUCUUUUCUUUUUCUUUUUUCUGGGGUUUGGGUGUGGGAGACGAGGGUGAUCAGAGGCCUGCAUUUUAAAUAACAAUCACACUAACGUGAGAUCAGAGGCAUGCAUUUUUAUUUCUACUAUUAAUUCAUACUUCACCUAAAACAUGAUGACAUCACUAUGUAACAUUAGGAUCAUAUAAAGCUGAGUUAUUUACUGGCAUUUAAUGUAUUUAUAUAGGGGGGGACUACUGAUUUAAUCUGUGUUACUCGGACUCGUCACUUUUGGAUGGAGUACCCGUGUCGACACGACACGACACGGGUACGGGUGUGGGAUUCGUACGGGAUUCGGCCACAUAAAUCCGGAUACGGCUGUAUUGGGAAGAAGAGCCGUGAAGAAGAAGAAGCCGUGAAGAAGUAAGAAGAAGCAAUGUUCGAAAUAGCGCUCGAGGCCUACGCCUCGAGGCGCGCCUCGUAGCGAGGCGGGAGAAAAUGUUGCUGAGGCGGCCGCUUAGUUUGGGAUCGAAGAACCUUGCGCCUUUUCCUGCCAAGGCUUACGCCUCAAGGCGUUGCGCCUCAAGGCCGUGCGAGGCGUGCGACUCGAUUUGGCUUUAAAAAAGACCUAAAUAUCAGAUUGGGCUGUACUUACCAUUAUCGAAGAGGCGAAGCCCAUUCUCUCGACCAUCGACUGCUUCUUCUUCUCGCGACCAUCGUGCGACUCGACUGCUCGUGAAAUCCCAGGUAUCUUCCUUCUCUUUCUUCUUCUUCUACUGCUUCUUCUUCUACUCCUUCUCCUUCUCCUUCUUCGCGACCAUCGUGCGACUCGACUGUGACUAUUUGGUCUCUGUUUUUUUUCGUUUCUUCCUCUCUUCCUCUGGGUCGUCUCCUUCUUGCGUCGAUCGAGGGUCUGAGUUCGUCUGGGUCGUCUCCUUCUUUCUCAGUUUCUUGUAGCGACUGAGUUCUGUCGAGGGUCUGAGUUCUGUUAUUGUUUUAAUUGUUCUGUUUAAUUGUUAUUGUUUACAGUGUUAUUGUUACUUUGUUAGUGUUUAUUGUUAUUGUAAUUCCUAACAGUUAUAAUUUAUUCCACUAACAAAUUCGUAACAGUACUAUAAUAACAAUUAUAAUAACAAUUCGUAUCAAUUGCUUCUGUUUAAUUGUUAUUGUUUAAUUGUUAUUGUUUACAGUUGAAUUUUUUAGACUGUCAAUAACAAUUGCUUUUAUUAUUACAGUGAAUUAAGAUUAUGGGUAAAAAUGAUACAUUAUAUGGGUAAAAAUGAUACAUUAUAAAAUUUGAUCCAUUAUUCAAGCCGCUAGAUACAAAUGAUACAUUACUUACAUAGUGAUGGAUGAUCACUAUAUAAGUACUUGAUGAUAUUAUGUCGUUUUGAUGUUUUGUAAUGAUACAUUACUAUGACGUUGGUUAUUUAUGUCUUCUAUGACCUUAAUUGUAAUGAUGAAUUAUUUUAUGAUUUUAUUAGUAUUUUUUCAUAAUUUUUUGGGGACUUUUAUAUCUUUAAAUCAAGGCUUCCGCCUCGCUCCGCCUCAAGGCUUACGCCUCGCAUAGCCCAGAGAAAAACGCCUCGUACCGAUUUUAGCUUUUUCGAACAUUGAGAAGAAGAAGCGGUAAGAAGAGAGAGAGAGAGAGAGAGAGAGAGAGAGAGAAAUCAGAUAUGAGAUAUAUAAAAUAUAUAUGGACAAUUACAAUUAGAUACCUCAUAGUUUUUAAAAUAUUUUAAUUUAGUCCCUAAGGUUUUUUGAAAGUUCUUAUUAGCCCCUAAAAAAUUACAUAUCAGUCCCUAAAAUUUUGUUUUUUUUCAUUUCUGCCCCUAUUUUUUUAUAUUUUUACACUUCAGUCCCUAGAGCAAAAAAACUUUGGUGAUAUAAUUUGAAACAUUAUUGUUAAAAAAUCAUAACAUACCGUAUCCCCGCACCCGUGUCCAAAUUCGGAUCCAUAUCCGCGUAUCCUCUAUUUUUUGACUUCACGUGUCCGACACCUAGAUUCGUACCCGCACCCGACACCCGCACACGAGUCCGAGUAACACAACUGAUUUCAUCUUUCCACUACUUUUAUACUCCCUCUUUCUCACAAAAAGAGUUUCAUUUCGUCUUUUUGAAGUCAAUAAGAGCAAAAUCCUAAAAAUCAAUUCAAUUGGUUUUAAUUAAUAUGAUCAUAAAUAAUUGUACUAAUUUCAAAAUUUGUUGUUUUCAAAACUCCAAUGUAUCACAUAUUCACAAUAAUUUUAAAUGUUAAGAUUUCACAAAAAGUUGCUUUUUAUGGAGAGGAGGGAGUAUGAUUUAUUAGUUACAGCCAUUGGUCUAUAUAUAGAUCCCCUCAAAUCAAUUUCAAAUUGACAAAUAAUUUGAUCAAACUCUACAAUGUAAAAAAAUUAUGGAGUUUGAUACUUUGAUUUGAUCUUAAUAAGAUGCCACCAACUGAUAGCUAAUAAAUUAUAGGAACAAGGAGAAUAUCUUGAUGUUACUUCCAAUGCAAGACCCAGGCUAGAUACAUAUUCCGUAGAUUAAGUGCAAACUUUGAGAAGAUAUGAGGCUCGUCUUAAUUUUCUCUCGUCAUCACUCUGUUUCAGUUGGUUCAGAAAAGUCCAAGAAGGUUGUGUUAACAGAGUUUUCAAUAUUUGAAGCAAUUAGUUAAUAUGACAAUAAUAGAGCCAUAACGAAAAACAGUAUGCUAUUUAGAUUAGCGCAAUGGGCUUGCUUGCAAUCUUUUUUAGAGCUUAAUCAAGACAACCUUAAGAUAAAGACUUCAGCAACUGCAGAAGUAACAAAAAGAUUUCCUUCAAGUGGACAGAGAUAUGUAUCCAUCAUACUCUACAAAUAUUAGUAGCUUGACUUCCAAGUAACUUGCAAACAGAUAAGAUAUGGAAAUUAUGAUUGAAAGAAGUAAUUAAUCUGGAAAAAGGAGAGAAAGGAAACCUCCAGGCCACGAGAAUAUGACCGUAAGGCCAAUAAAUUAGGCUUUUGAAAUUCCACUAUGCCAAGGCAAACACCUGCAAACUACAACCAAAUUAAUUACUUCAAAUACAAAUAUACUAUCUACCAAAGGCUCUUCUACUCAAGUGUCACAAUGGUUUUCUUUUUUCGUUUGCAAGUAUGUGAACAGUAAAAGUUUUAAACAGUUUUCUAUCCUUUUAGAGCUCCAUAUUUGUAACAUCAUAUCUAUUUAGAUUAGUGUCCUCGUGGGAUUAGAUAUGUAAUGUAGAGAUAGCACAGAAGAUAUGAGGUACUUACCCCUCUGAGAUGGUUUCCANNNNNNNNNNNNNNNNNNNNNNNNNNNNNNNNNNNNNNNNNNNNNNNNNNNNNNNNNNNNNNNNNNNNNNNNNNNNNNNNNNNNNNNNNNNNNNNNNNNNCCUGACUUGAAGAACAAUAUACCUUUUUUUAACAUACUUGCAACUGAAAUUAACAUUUAAGACAAAUUUCAUAGGAUCGCCUGAGGUGUACAUGUUUUUGCACAUCACCACUCAAGUUUUAAAAGUGAACACACAAACACCUGAAGUAUUGAGGCUAUUUGAAACUUCCAUUUUUCCAUCCAUAUUAACAGUGAGAGUAACUCGCUCUCCAUAAACGCGGCCCAAAACAUAACAUAUUAGAAAUGAAAUUACCCGUAUACUCUUUUAAUCACUCCUAUUUACCUUAGAGUACCCUUUUACCAAAUUUCUGCAUCAAUUGAAAGAGGAAAAAAAAGUAAAUCAACCUAACUAAGAAGAUAAUUUAAGAUCCAUAAAAGAAUUAUGAACUUUUUAUAUAUUUUGAAUCUUUGAAGAUCAAAAUCCAUUAUAUUUGAACUAGAUCUUCAAAUAAUGAUAGAAAUGGUAAUAAUGAACUAAAACAAAACUAGUAGAAUGCAUUAAUACCUCAAAUGGUGGUUGAUUUGGUCAAAAAUCAGUCUUAAUGUUGCUGAAAACAGAGCCUUGCAAACAAGGGUUUCUCAGUAACGAUUUGAACCUUUUUUGGUGUUGUUUGAGGGCGAAUCUUAGCCUAUCCUGCUUGGAAUUUCCAAGGAGCAAAGCCCAUUGUUUUUCGAUCUCCAAUGCAUGAAUUGGGAUGGAUUUUAUUUUUAGUUUGAUUUCCCCUUCUAUCAUAUCGCAAACAUAGAAUGCGAAUGGUGUCUUUGAUGAAAUUUUGGGAUUAUUUAGGGUUGGGGUUAAUUGAUGUUUUGAUAAUUGUACUAGGGGUCGAUUUUUAUUGUGGUUAUCAAAUCUUUUUUUGUUAUAAACCCAUUACUAUACUAAAAAAAGGUUACAAAAUGGUCAUUACUUACAUUCCGUCCAAAAAAGUGACGGAAAUUCUUUGUCGUGCAUAUCACAUGAGGCUUAAUUGAUGAUGUGAGUUGGUUAUUGGUGAUGUGACAUUUUUUACCAUGUGUAUUAUCAUGUGCAGAGCACAUGACACUUCAUAAUAUAUACCCUAUCAUGUUGCAGACUUCAUUUUCUUCUCUUUCAUAUCUCUACCAUUCCCUCUUUAUCUUCUUCCCCAUCACAACAAGAACCAUCAAUUUCAUAAGUAUCGCCACCAUCAUCAUAUUUCGAGUAAAGAGAAAAGGGAAAGGGCUUUCUAUGUACACCACAAUCCAUAAAAAUUGAUCACGAGGGGGCUCACGAUUCGCUGAUGUGAAUCCAAAACUCCCCAAAAUCAGAUUCAAGGUAAAAUUGUAAAUCAAGGCAAAAUUGGUACAAUAGCCCCAUAAAAUCCAACAUAGCCUCUCAGAUUUGCACUGCUCUUUUCGCUGACUCCUCCAACCACCGUAACUCGUCACCUUCCUCCGAUCACCGAACCAUCUAACCCCUCGCAUCUUAACCUUUAAUUGGGUCUACAUUUGUGCGGGUGAGAAUCACACCAGUUUUGUUGGGUAUUGAGUUGUAUGCUUUGAUUGCUAGUUACCAUUGUUCAUUGUACAUAAGGAAGAUCUAGUGAUUUGGGGAACAUAAAUUGAUUAUUCUAAUUUUUUUGGUGGGUUUUUGUUUUGUUUUCCUCUUCGUAGUGAUUGCAUUUUGAGCGUCUCUUCGGCUUAUCCCGUGGAUCCAAAUUACAACAAAUCUAUAGAAAGACCUUCAAAUUGAAAUCAACUUAAUAUUUGAAAAUAAGAAUGGAGAUUUGCUAGUGGAUUAAGAUGAUAUCGAAGAAUGAGAAACUGAGUUGUAGGAGCUAGGAGGAGGGGAGAAAAGAGCUCUGGGUUAAUUGCCAAUUGGGCAUUUGCUAAGAGAGCAAAUUGGGCACAAAAUGAAUUGAUGAAGUAAGUAGAAGGGGACCACUGCGGGAAUAUCAAUUUAAGCUGCGGAAAUAUCACUUUCCUUAACAUAAUUGUUAUAUCUUAAUGUUUUCUUCUUCUUUUUUUCUAGGUAACCUUUUAAUUUUCCUUAUUUUUCACAUGCCACCUCAUUAAAACAUCUCACAUCCAUCUGUCAAACGUUAGCCACGUAAGCUUUCUCGUUAAUAUUUUAGACGGAAAAUUAUAAAAUCACUAAUUUGAAAUAUUUUUACGAGUUUGAUAAUGCGAAUUUAACAAAAAAAGAUUCGGUAACCACAAUGAAAAUUAACCCCUAGUACAGUUACCAAAAUAUCAAUCAACCCUUUUUAGGGUUGUUUACAGUUGAUUGUGCUCGACUUUGAUUAAGGAUAAUACCCAUAGAUUUUUGUUACCUAAUUGAAGGAUUAGAUAGGGUCUUAUGGAUUAUUUUUGUUGGAAUGAUAUGUUGCGCGAACUAGAGAUUGAACUAUGGAUUGUAUGAGUUUAGAUGAUGAUAUGGAUGUUGUUUAUGCAUGAUUUAAUUGUUUGCAGAUAGCCCAAAGAUUUCUAACUUUUUUCAGUUGGGUUUGGAUGAAUUUUUGUGAUAAUCGAUGUGAAUUUUGGAUGAAUUUUUCAUACUGGGUUGAUGAAGAUUGAAGGAGUAGACAAAGGAAAAGAGAAACUUCUUUAAAAAGGGGCACAAUUGUCUUUUUAGUACUUGCAUUUAUGAGUUCAUCUAUUUUCUUUGAUGAUGACAAUGAUAUUAAUGCAUAUUUGUAAUUUCAAACAUGUUUUGUAAAGUCCUUAUGAGAAUUAUAUGUAAAAGAACUUAGUUAGGGAUUUAAUUUGUUAAGCAGAUUCAAGAUCGUAGGUUAUAGCUUUGUAAUCUUUGUAAUAACUAAAGUUGUCCAAGACAGACAGGUAUUUCGUUGAGUAAAAUAUGAGAUCAUAAAGUGAAGUACCAGAUCAUAGUCAUAUCGCAGAGCCACUAGAAAUCAUCGAGUGGAAUCACUUAACAAUCUGAUGACCAACUCUACGAUUCUAUACCGAAGGCCAAUUCGACCAAAAUCGUAGAGUUUAGAAUCAUGACAUGUCAGUGACAGGUUUAUGACAAAGGUUAUAAACCUUAACACAUAUUUCAAUGUUGAUCCACAAAUGUGUUGGCGAUAAGGAUGAAGAAGACAACGUAACUUUUUCAACAACUAUAUAACCAAGACAAGGACGCGCGUCUACUGCUGCAUUAAACAUGAUACUAUCGAAAGCGAAAGCUAGUGGUCCAACAGGCAAGAUUUUGAAGUCAAAGGAAUGAUCAUUUGACAAGUGUCCCAGUCCAUUUGAACAACAUUAACAAUUCAACGGGUAAAACUUAAGGAGUAACUAUAAAAGGAUUAUUACAACAACUCUAAAGAGUAACGGUUUCAUCAAGAAUCAAGUGCCUAACAUCAUUCAACCUACGAUCAAGUGUUCAAAGAGCUCUACCCUACGAUCAUAACAUCAUUCAACUUGUUGCUAAUACAUUUGGAAAAGACCUUAAUUCAAAUUAGCAGAACCUCAAAUCAAAAUAUUCUCCUAAUGAUCGUGAUUAGAUCUUGGUGUCCUAUUUGUACCAAGUCUUUGUAACUUAUAGAUUCUUUGUGAAUCUCAGUUGUAAUAGCUCUUAAUGAGCUUGGUUUUUGUAACCUAUCUAUCCUUAAUAGAUCAUCCCUACUCUUGGAGGACUAAGAGACUUUUGUUCUCUGAAUCUUUUAAAAAUUUUGUGUUCUUUACUUUUUGUCUUUACUUAACUGCAUUUACAUUCUAGUCACUCUACGAUUUCUUCUGUGACUAGUUUAUGCAAUUCACACGAAAUUCGGAACUUUGGAAUUUUCAUCAUAUCUUUGAAGGGGUUUUUCAAAUACAUAUUCCGUUGUAAUUACCUAAAUAAAUUAACUUGUUUAAUUUACUUGGUAAACAAAUCUUUUAAAAAGAAAAUUUAAAGAUAUAUUUAACCCCCCUCUAAAUCUCUUUUAGUGCCUUUGGGCAUAACAAUCUUUACACGGUUUGAUUAAUGAAGUUAAAACAUAAAGUUGUUUUUCAUUGGACUCGCUACUUUAGGUGUUUAUGUGCUCAUUUUUAAAACUCGAGUGGUGAUGUGCAAAAACGUAUAUACCUUGGGUGGUAUUUACCAUAACAUUUAUAAUUAGGGAAAUCAGAGUGCAAAAUGCCAGAAGGCAAAUCACUAGCUAUGGAGGGUUGAUCAUUUGGUCCUAAUACUAGAUGGUACCACAUCAUAUGCAGGGGCGGAUCCAGGAUCUAUUUUUAGCCGAGGCAAUUUUUUUUGGGCUAAAGUUUAGCGAGGUACAGAGCGAGAAUUUGAAUAUAUUAUACACUGUGUAUUUAAAUUUUUUUAUAGUAGUAGUAGUUUAAGUUUUUUUUUUCCCCUAAGUUUAACUUUUUUAUAAAUUUGUCUCUUUAAGUUAAUAUUAAAUUUUAUUUUUUCUCCUUUCACUAUUCCUAUUAAAAAAAAGUUGAGCAUGGGCAGUGCCCCAUUUGCCCUUCAUGUAGAUCCGCCAGUGAUCACAUGGGAAGAGAGAUCAUAAGAUUGGAGACUCAGUUUUCCACGAAUGCAACAUGGUCUGUGCACAACUAAGUUUCUGAUGGAGACUGGAAAGCACAAGGAAGAAUAAGGUUAAACAAAAAACUUUGGACUUUGGUUAAACACUUAAACUUUAAAGUGAGUUAAGCUAGAAUGGUCAAGAUUCUUUUUGUAUGUAAAGUCAAUCAUUUAAUAUAAUCAUCAGUCGGGUGUCUCCGGUCUAAGUUGGGUGUCUCAGGUCUAUUUGAGGUAUUCAGCUUUCUUAUCUCUUUUGAAGGUAGUCUGAUUGAAUUCAGAUUAUGUUUAUUUCUAAAGUUUGGUUUAUUCGAGUUAAUAUAGUUGAAUUUUCUGGUAGUAUAUCUUGUUUUGAGGUCUGUGCAAGGAGGAGGAUCCUCCUAGACUGAACACUGCACCAGAGUUCCUUCCAUUGAUUCUUCUUUGCUUCCAUUUCUCAUCUCUAAAUUAAUGGGCUACAUCAGUUGCACGCUGUGAAAGGAUCCAAUUAAAUUUUUCUUAGAUUCGCCGAUGAGUUCAGAAAGGUAUAUUGCAGAAUAAUGUGUGAGCUAGGUUACCAACAAUUUGGUCUAACUUAGACAAUAUGCAGAAUAUAUCUUGCCAAGUGCUGCAACUAACUCAACCUAUGGGUAAAAGACUAAAACAUUUCAGAUUAUGCAGAAGAAUGAAAAAGUUUCUUGCAGUUAGGAAUUAUGGUGAACAUGCCAAACAAUUGAGACAUGACCCAUAUAUUAAUUCUUAAUUCUUGCUCAUGCUAAUCAAUUGAGGUAAUUUUAUACCAAAUUAUUUUCUACUCUAGAUAAUUUCAACCAUAAAAUCAUUAUAUAUGUCAUCUAGGGUACAAAGUUCAUUACUCUGGCGAAUAGAGAACCCAUUAGAGAAGUCUAUUUCCCCAAAAAAAUCUGAAAAACACAAGAAAAUAACACACAAAGGGGAGAGCUAGAAGUAGAACAUACAAAAAAAAUAAAAAAUCAAGUGAAAAGAAAAGGCUAGUGAUGAUAACACAGCAGAUAGAGACGAUAAAAAAGGAGAAUAAGAGAAACAAAAGUUUAUAUAAUUGACAAAAGAAAAUAAAUAUUAUUCUCAAGGGGAAAAAGGGGAGAGAUUUGUGCGAGAGAUUGAAUGCAUUCACCUGAAGAGAAGAGCUGGGUAGGGAGCUUGCUUGGUUCAGAGAAGAGGAAGAAGGAAAGCUCGGAAGACGGAGACAACAGAAGACCAACAAAUUAGUCACUUUGUUGUCGUCCGAACGUGAACGGAUUUGGACUGGACGAAAAACUUAAUAACAAAAGGAUAAAUCUAUGCGUACCUUUGUUCUCCACCCUCCUUGCCGAAACGCACCUCCUGGUGUCGUUUAACUUCUUUUUUCUUAAUUUUUUGGCCUUCCCACGUACCCCCGGCACCCACUCCCACCNNNNNNNNNNNNNNNNNNNNNNNNNNNNNNNNNNNNNNNNNNNNNNNNNNNNNNNNNNNNNNNNNNNNNNNNNNNNNNNNNNNNNNNNNNNNNNNNNNNNUAUCUACUCUUGCCAUUGAAAAACAAUUCCAAGACAAUUUCAAGAGGUUUAUACCAAUUCCAAAUUUAAAGAGUUGCAAACAGAAGUGGCGGAUUGGGGAAUGUAUUGCCUCACAAUGUUUGUCGAAUCUCAUGAUAAAAUAUUUCAUUACGAAGUGAAACAACUUUGUUACUUUGGGGAAAAAAAAGAUCGUUCAAAAAUUGUGGACUUCAAAGUUUGCUUCAUUGAAGGGGGAAAAUGAAUCUAAAUUUGAUGUGAAGUGUAACUGUAAAUUAUUCGAAUUUCGAGGAAUUUUAUGUAAGCAUAUAGUUAAGGUACUUCAUUUUGAAAGGUUUAUAUUUACCGUUCCAACGAAAUACAUUUUGAGGAGGUGGAGAAAGGACAUAAAACGACGUCAUAAUAAAGCUAAAGUCACUUAUAAUCCUUGGAAAGACACGGAACCGGGACAGAGAUAUGAGAAGGUGUGCAGAAAUUUUUUUCGACGUUGCGGACAUUGCGUAUGACACUAAACAAAGAUGUGAUCAACUUGUAGAUCGACUUCUUGAACUAAAGGUGGAAUGGAAUACGGAGGAUGGAGUUUGUGAAAAAAGUCAACCUACCUAAAAGUCAAACGCGAGCAAAUAUGAAAAUGACGACCCAAGUGAAAGCCAAAAAUUACUUUCACCAAAAAAGAACCGAUGCAAAGGGCGUCCUCAUAGGAUGGUAUGCAAGAUGGAACAAGUUUCGAAGAAAUUCAAACAGAAAGGACAAAAAAAGGUAGAAAUAAGUCUGAAUCAAGAAACACACAUAAUAUGAAGAAGGUAUAAUUUUUCUUUUUUGUUAUAUAUAUAUAUAUAUAUAUAGAAUAACUUUUUUUGCGAUUAAUAUCGUCUUAUAAAAUGAUGAAUUAUGCUUCUUUUAUUUCAGGCUUUUGAGCUUGAUACGACUAUUAAUCAACCACCUAUUUUUCAUGAGACACGAGAGAGUCAUUUUGGAAAUAUUAACUUGAAUGUGAAUAAUGAUAAAAGGCUGACGACUAUUAAUUAAUAAAGUAUUUACCAAUUACUUCAGGUUCUUAAAUCAAAUAAAGGCAUUCUUAUUAUCUUGCAGUCUAUUUGAAGGUUACUUGGAUGUCUCUAAUCAUAAUAAGUGUGUCCAAUAAAUAAUCAUCACAUACCUAAAGUAAAAAAUUGUGUUCAGAAAUUCAAGACAACGCAUAGAAUUUAUCUAAUUAGGCUCCUUCAUCAAUCAAAAGUAUUUGUAAUAGAAAGGUGUGAGGAAACUCAAAAGGCACAAAUAGAUAAUUACUUGCAUGUACCAAACCAUAAAGAAUAUCAUUCAAUUGCCACUAUAGAAUCAAAAUCAUGUGGAGCAACAACAAAAAAAAUAGUUUAGAUACAAGUUACUGAUAUUUAUUUCAAUGUUGAGUGAACUCCACACAAAGAAAAUAGUGGAAUUUUGCAGUUUCAAAAUUUCUGAAUGAAGAAAUAAAACUAUGUUAUAGAAUAUGUAAUCUAUAUUUCAAAAUCAGGAACAUGAGCUAAAUAUUAGAUUACACUCAUAAAAGAUACCAAUUAAUAAGAUGAGCUACUAUAAGAUACUCAUAAAAUAUCUCCUAUAAGGCAAAUAUCAGGAGCCAGCAAGAAAAGGACCGGGGUGACAACAUAUGAUCCAAUUGAUCAAUUCUUGUCUCGGAACAAACAGAACUUGGUCUAGCAAGAAAAGAAGAAAAAAAAGCUAAUCGGACAUUUUUAGAUAUGCAACAAGUGAAAUGGAUGCAAACAGCUCUUGAUUGGAAAUAGAUGCCAGAGGUAGUUUGUUCAUGAUAGGCGUGCAUGUUCAAAGCCUAAACACUAGGCUUUACAGUCUCUUCUUACCUAAUUAGUGUAUUAGGAAUAGAAUUAGCUUUUCAGAAGUGAAAAAAGCAAAGCUUGUGAACUUAGUAAAACUACAUUUUUCGAAGAUAUGUUAAUUUGUGUAAUUAAAGGUUAAAAACUAUGUAAGACCUCUUUGUGUCAUUCCAUCAAACAGAUAGUGUACAAUUUCAAUGGAAAUAAUAGAAUCUAACCUUAAAAAUCCAGCAAACUUCCUCCAACCUUCUCUAGAAUGAAUACUAAUAUAUAGAAAAUAAACACAACAAAACUCCAUAAUUACACAAGAAAUCAGAGAAAACCCCAAUAAAUAGUCUAAUCAAGGAAAAACCCAACAGAAUCAUCAAUCCCAUUUCAACAAGAAGACAAUAUCAUCAAUAAAUAGUCUAAUCAUAUAAGUGACGAAUCAGAAGAAAUUAGCAUAGAUGAACAAAAACCCACUUAAACACGUCAAUCAAACUCUUCUUCAAUUCAUUGCCCAACACAAUUCAUGAACAAUUUCUCAAGAAAAUUGAGAUGAAAUCACCUCAAAAAGGGAGAGAGAAGGCGUUGUGGGUGCUUUCUCAGUGAGGGCUGAGCUUGUUUUCUUGUACAAUGACGGCUGAGCUUGUCUUCUACAAUGGGUUUCUCCCAAAUUAAUUCAAGGGCAAGAGCAGAUAAAACCUCUCUCUUGCAAAGGUAAAAAGCUUUGUACACCGGAGAUGUUUAGAUUGAGAGGGCUAGAAGGUGGAAAUAAUAUCAUCUCAUCUAUAUACUCGUAUAUAUAUUUUUCUUUCUUAAAACUAAUGAACCACAUUCGGAUAAAUUAGUUUUUAUAACAAAU